rnacentral:lncRNA from 1 species
GCUCUUUGAGCAUAUUUUCAACUUACCACCUUAUCACUCCGAAAAUUCUAAAAUAUUUAAUUUUUUUUUUUCAACCUUUUAGGUUAUUCAAUCUUCAUGUGGUAACUUCACACACUUGCCGGACGACAGGGGUGGUAGCUCUUUCCUACAUGUGGUGGUAGUUUUCACACUCCUUUUGGAUGUAACUUUUUCCACAUCUUUUAAGCAUAGGAGUUUCUCCUUUUUUUUUUAAUUUUUUUUAACAAUUCAAACUCCCCCUAAAUUAGACAACCUCACAAUUGAAAAUAAUUUGACAAAUUUUAGUCUAUUAACGAAUAUCCAUCGAUCAUAUCCAACACACACAACCGAGAUAGAUUAAUAACCAAGAGAUCAAAUUUGAUUUCAAAAUUUUGAUGAAUAUAUGUAUUAAGAAAUCAUAUAUUAAAUUAUUGUCAAAAUAAUAAAGAGUGGAGUAAGAUCGAUAAUUAAUAUGAAUUUAAUUCAAGAUGAGUUCCGAUUAAAACACUUUGAAAAAUUCUAAUCUCCCUAAAAUAAAGAUUUUCAAUCGUCUCUUUCCUCCAAGAAAAAUUUUAAAUUCCCAAAUACUUUGCCUCAAAACGUUUUAUAAACAAAUAAAAUUCAAAGCACCAAAAAUCGUCCAAAAUAUGUAAUGCAAUGAAUAAGAAUAUGCAACAAGCACCUAUCAAAGCACUACACAAAAAAAAAACACCAACUAAGAUGAGGAGCAAGGAAAGAUAUCACCUUUCCGGAUCCAAACUUGUCGAAUCGUUGGUUUUCUCGACUUGUUGACGUUAGGUGCCGUUUGUUUAGAUUUUUGAUCAACCGUUGGUGGUUUCUUUGCUUGAGGCUUCGGUUGAACUUGUCGUUUAGGCUUAGAAUUCCGGUUUGCUUUAGGAUUCGGUUGGAUUUGGCAUUGCGCAUUAGAAUACCGGUUUGCUUGGGGAUUUGGUCGAACUUGAUGUUGUGUAUUAGAAAUCCGAUUCCCUUGAGGUGCUCGACUCAAAUGAUUUGGCUUUUGAUUUCGUGGGGGAUGUCGAGUUGUAGAUGAUGUCGAUUGAAGUUUAGAGAGUGUCGAUCGAUGUGUAGACAUGGCCAAUUGAUUCAUCUUUUCUUUGUUUGGGCAAUUCUUUUUGAUGUGUCCUUUGAUGCCACAUCGAUGACACACUUUGCCAUUUAAAGUUGUUGAGACUUUCGAAGUUGAUUUAGAAUCCUUCUCAACAUAUGUCCGUUCAUAUCCGAGGCCCAAUUUGCUCGUUUGACCCAAUCCGAGCAUAUGAUCCAAUUUCUUAGAUCCCGAUGAAAACUUUUGAAUAUCGGUUUGGAGUUGACGAACUUGGUCGGCCAAGGCUUUGUUCGAUUUGCGUGAUUCCUCAAAUUGAUGCUCCAAAAAUCCAACUUUGCCUUUAGAGGAUUUGAUCGUUGAUUCCGCUUCAUUAAGCUUCUCUUGGAGGUCCAAAUUAUUCUUCAAAAUUGAUUCUCUUUCCUCCUCAAGAGCUUUGUUCGUUGUCUUUAAAUUUUUAUUUUCUUCCUCAAUGUCUGAUAGACGACGCCUCAACUUCUUAUUAUGCUUGGCCAUCCUUUUUGAUUCAAUAAGAAGUUGAUUGUACGCUUCCGCUAUGUCAUCGUCGUUUGAUUCCUCCUCGCUAUCGUCGAUAUCGCUCAAAGACACAUGCGAAGAAGUAGACAUAUUGGAAUUAGACAUAAUAGAGGAUAAACACACAACGUUAGACGAAGGCAAAGAAGAAUUAGCAAACAAAGCAAGAUUUUCAUUCUUUUCUUCGUCACUUGAAGAUGAUUCACUCGAAGACGAAUCAUCCCAUGUCCUUGCUUCCAAUGCCUUCUUAGUAUAUGAUUUCUUCGAAGGACAAUCCGUUGCGAUGUGGCCGUAGCCUUUGCACUUGUAGCAUCGGAUCUCGCCUUCAAAUACAUCCUUUUCUUUCGAAGCCUUUGCACACUUCUUCUCUUUAGAUGUAGAAGAUGAAGACUUAGAAAACGAUUGUUGCUUAGACGAUGUAGCCUUGUCAAAUUUGUGCUUGUUCCGAAAAUUUCGACGAAACUUCUUCGUUAAUAGUGCAAGUUGAUGUUCGAAAUCGGCAAGCAAUACAUCUUCAUCGGAAUCUGAAUCCUCAUCUUCCUCCUUUGUCGACUUCAAUGCAACCCCUAUGCUUUUAGAGAAAGACUUGGAAGAAGAUUGAUUAGUAGGAAAAGUCAUCUCAUAUGUUUGUAAAACACCUACUAACUCUUCGACUUUCAUCUCGUCCGGAUGCUUUACGGUUUCGAUUGCGGCAACUUUUGCCCGAAAGCAUUCCGGAAGAGUUCGAAGAAUCUUUCUAACUACUUUAGCAUCCGGGAUUUUCUCUCCCAAAUUAGCGCAUGUAUUUACAACGUCUUGUAGACACGUAUAGUACUCGGUAAAGGUCUCGCUUUCGUCCAUAAAAAUUGAAUCAAACUUGCUUAUUAGCAUUUGUAAUUUUUGGACCUUUACUAAGCUCGUUCCUUCAUGCGUAACUUGUAGAGUAUCCCAAAUCUCCUUGGCGGUUUCACACGCCGAAACAUGAGUAAACUCCGUUUGCGAUAAAGCAUUGAAUAAAGCAUUAAUUCCUUUACCGUUAAACGAAGAUGACUUGUUUUCAUCUUUCGUCCACUUGUUCCGUAGUUUAAGAACGGUAGCAUCAUCGACGACUUCGGUAGGAUGCUUCCAAACGAAUUCUAUAGCUUUCCACACCCGCUCAUCGAUUGCAAUUAGAAAGGCUCUCAUGCGAACUUUCCAAUAGGCAUAGUUUGUGCCAUCGAAGAGCGGUAGUCGAUUAAUGUUUUCGCCUUCGGCCAUUAGAUAGCAAUUUAUCUAGAUCCUGCUCUGAUACCAAUUGUAAGUUUUGGGGUGCCUAAGGAUCUAUCUAGAUUGUAUCUAAUACCUAGAGGGGGGUGAAUAGGUGUAACGGCCAAAAACCACAAAUCUAAAUGCGACAAAAAUAAAUGCGGAAAAUAAAAAGCACAUCGAGAUUUAUGUGGAAACUCCAACUUGGAGUAAAAAACCCACGAGACCAACACGUGAAAAAAUAAUUCACUAAGAAAAAAGAUUACAAGGUGAUUACCGACUCCACGGACUCGACCUCUCUUAACCUCUUACGAACCUCCGCGUAAUCCUCCGGGUUGUCCACGCCCUCACGUUCGAAUCCACGAACGCCACGUUCCGAGUCCACGAAACGCCACCACUUCGAAUCCACGAAGCUCCACCACUUCGAAUCCACGAAGCUAUCGAUCCGAAUCCUCGAACCCUUGAAAACGUCGAAUCCACGACGCCUCACGCCGAAUCCACGACGCCGUUCAUGAGAAGCAUCAUAAGUAUGGCGAUCCUUCGCUUAGAGUAUCGUAGAAAACCAAGGAAGAGAACUCCAAGUGAAGCGUAGAUCAAAUCGACAUAUAGAUCGAAAAUUCCAAUACCUCGAUUUGACCUAAAAGAGGCUUUAUGAAGAAAAUAGAUUUUUGAUGAAAUCCGAGCCUCUAGGGUUUCUCAAACAUGUAUUUUUGUGAUGUUUGAUAAUACCUACAUCUUAGAGAACCCCUAAUAGCUUAUUUAUAGACUUUAGAAUCAAUCGGAGUAGGAUUUAGAAAGUUUUCAGGAUUUUACACUGUGUACCGAUACACUUUAAGCUGUUACCGGUUACACGAUGACGGAACGAAAAAACCUGACGAAACAUGAAACCGGUUACAUGUUGAUGGUUGUACCGGUACACAUUUUGUACCGGUACACUUCUGAUGCUGUACCGGUAUACUUUGCAAAUUUUCACCGUUUCGGAUUUUGCAAAGUUCCGAUGCACUUUCUAAUCCAGUAAACUUUGAUAUUAUGAUUCUAAUGCCUACAACUAAGUAUAAAUCACCAUAACAUGAAAUAAAACUUUACCUGAGCAUCGUGAUUCACGCCGUGAGUUAUUUUUUGAUUUCUUCGAAGUCUUUGAUUCUUCGAUCUUCGUCGAUUCGCUUUGAUCCUUCAAGACUCCGACUCACUUCACGAAACUUGCCAAUACAAAAUCCUUAACAGCAUGAAGAAAGAUAUUAGGGAAUUCGUGGCGCAGUGUCUCACGUGCCAACAAGUGAAAGCGGAGCGCCGGUUUCCGGCGAGAAAGUUGCAAAGCAUAUCUAUACCCAUUUGGAAAUGGGAGAAUAUCGCAAUGGACUUCGUAACCGGUUUGCUUCAAUCACAAGGCGGACACAGCGCAAUUUGGGUGAUAGUGGACCGAUUGACGAAGUCGGCGCACUUUUUGCCGAUUCAUAGUACGUGGUCGGGAGACAAGUUGGCUCAAGUACAUCUCGACGAGGUUGUGAGGCUUCAUGGGGUUCCCGUGUCUAUUGUAUCGGAUCGAGACCCGAGGUUCACGUCUCACUUUUGGAGGAGCCUACAGGAUGUGAUGGGCACACGGCUCAAUUUUAGUAUGGCAUUUCAUCCUCGAUUCAGUAAUCCGACGAAUCUAAGUAAUGAUUUUGGGUAAAAAGCCUAAUUUGGCUUCGUUAUGUCGCAAGCGAGAGAAUAGGCAUCCAAAAAUUCUAAUAAUUGAACCAUAGCACCCUUGCAACCAUACGAGGUGGGUGGUGCAUUCCGAAAAUGUUGAAUUUCCUUUUAUGUCUAGAGUGUCAUUCUUGAGCAUAUGUUUGUAUACUUUGUUCAUGCAUUGUAGGGUAAGUAGAAUGUGUAAAAUUGCAUGCUUAGAGUAUAAGAUGCAUUCGAGAUAUUAUGAGUUAUUGAAAACAUGUUAAACCCUAUGUUGCAUGAAAAGUGAUAAAGACCUAGAUGAGGUAUAGAACGAAAUGACAUUAUGACAUAUGGAUUGUGUGGCAUUAGUAUACACAUAGGGUGUGGCAUCAAAGAGUUUGAAUGCUAGAGUUGGACACUUAGUGAGUGUGGCAUUAGUGAAUGAGUAUAAAGAACAAAAUAGUGUAUAUGACACUAGUGAAAGUUAAAGAAUGCAAGAAAAGAGAGAUAGUGACACUGUGACAUAGUAACCUUAAAGUUAAGGGUCACAUGAGCAUUGGAAUCUUUAAAGCUAAGAAUUGAUCAUACUCGCCUAUAGUCUUGGCUUGAGGGAGGUCGCUUCCCCUCGAGCGAUAAGCUCCGGAGUUGUCAUCACUGGGAAGGGGAAUCCCCAUAAUAACGUUCCAUCGGGAGGAAGCUGAGGGCCCGAUAUUAGGGAUUUGAGUUGGUAAGUUAUAGAACCCGGCGGGAGGAAGUUGAGGGCCCGACGGGUUAGCCACGAGAUUGUGUAAAGGAAAAGUAAACUUGCAUUCAUCAUGAGAAUUUCAUUGAGCAUACGAUUGAUUAUAUUUUGUUCAGGCAUAUUAGCUGCAUUUGUUAGUUGGUUACUAUCCAUUCUUUCUUCUAUUAUGCCUGAUUUAGACCUAGAGGGAAAGUCAGCGAGGUCGGCAGCCAAACCCACUGGGAACUUUGUUAUAGUUCUCACCCAUCUUUUUCCACAGAGCCGGGACCGAGUGAGCCGGCUGAUGAUCGCGGUAAGGGCAUCACGCCAUAGACAGGGACCGCCCAAGUUGGUUGUAUUUUGUUAGUCGCAUACCCUUAUAUAUCAUCUUUUAUACUCGAUGAUUAUAGUUGUAUUAAAGAUGUUUAAAUGAAUGAUGUAAAAGAUUUUAUGUUUAAUUGCAAAAGGUUAUAUUUGGAGAUAUCAUGUGAUGUAAAAGAGAAGAAAUAAUGUUACAGAAAAGAAUGUAAAUGUAUAAGUUGUAUGCAUGCAUGUGAUUUAAAGUUAAUCAUAUUACUUGUAUGGAUAAUUAGUUAAUACUUUCACUUUGGCUAUUGCUCGCCCUCGUGCGAGCCACUAUGUAUGUUUUCACUUGUGCAAAAAAUCUACUCGAUUUGUACUUGUGUUGAGCCUUGGACGGACAGGGGAGGUGAUGUCCGUUCGGCGUCUGUUCUACGUAUCCGAACUGACCAAAUAGGCCGAGCUCGGGGCGUGACAACCGUCGUCAUCGCACCCUCCGUCGCCAUCGCACCCUCCAUUGCCGUCAUCGUGAUCGGCACACCCACCAUCUCUUUUUCCCCUGUGGCUCUCUCUAUCUUACUCUCUCUCUCACCUCCCUUUGUCGCACCUUGUAUCUCACUCUCUCUCUCUUACCUCCCUCUGCUGCCGUUGCCACUACUGCCACCGUCAUUGUCGUACCUGCCUUCACACUUGCCUUGAGAUCUCUCUCUCAUUCUCGCAGCAUUCUCUUUCGUCCUCUCUCUUUCUCUCUUUCUCUCUCUCUCUCUCUCUCUGCGAUAGUGCCGUCGCCGACAAACCCACCGUCGCCGACAAACCCACCAUCACGGAGACGUAGAAAGGGGAAGAAAGUGGUGAAUGGUUCACCAUUUUUAAAAGUGGUGGAACCAUUCACCGCUUUUACAGGGUGUAUAAAAUUUUAUGAAUGUAGUUAACCAUUCACCGCUUUAGUGAAAUCGGUGAAUAGUUCACUGCAUUUCUUUCUCUCUCUACCACCCAGGUACCCACAUGGCGAAACGAAGACUAUAUUUACAAAUAAAAAUUUUGACUAGCCUAAUUUUAGAAUAAAAAUUUAGAAGAGGCAUACUACCCUAAAAUCUCCGAUGAAAAGCCAAAAUAAAAAGGCUAGAUGAAAUAAUUUAAAUACUAAGAAAUUAUCUUGCAUCUUUUAUUUUUCGCUUGUUAUAUUUGGCAAUGCCAAAAGUCUAGCAUUGAUAAAAUUUCAAUAGUAAAGAAAUUGCCAAUUUUUUCUAAAUGCGUUAGUGUAAAAGCGUCAGCAUAUAUAGGCAUAUAAAAAUAGUGUAGCAUCAGCUACAUUAGCAUAGCAUGAGUUAGGCUAAGCAACUUCUAUUUUGAUUAUCUGGAGGUUUGAACAUUUAGUGUGUAUGAAUGGAUAGACAUAUAAACAAAUAAAGUGAUAUUCAUAUAAAACAUCUUCAAACACUACUUUUUUAGUUAUCAAUUUUAUAAAUUAAAUAUUCUUUUUCAUUUCAGUAAAUAAAUUAUUGAUAUAGUUUUAAUAUAUUAUUCAAAAUUGAAUAGUUUAAAUUAUAUUUGAAAGAAAAAAAGUUGAAAUAAAAAUUGAAGUAAAAAAAAGACCUUCGCGUGGCAAGAACAACAAGAAUGAGUCGUGUUAAGCUACAAUUUAGCCCAGAAGUGAGGUCAAGGGUCUGGUGAUAUAUGCAUUGUGUUCACCAUGUGUCGUGCCAUGCUAGACUGAUAAGAUAUGAUCUAAAAUACCUACCGUCACGUUGAACAUGUUUCAGACCCAUAUAUAGUCUCCAUGGAUAUUUUUGUGCUAAACUACUAAUUUUGUGAUAUAAAUAUAUCCCCUUUUUUGAUGUAUAUUUCAUAACUUUUCUAUCUAAAUUAAUUUUUUGACGCUAGACUUAUAACUUUUUUCUAAUAAAAAAAUUCAUUAGUAGUCGUUUAAACUAUUGGAUGGAGGGUCACAACUCCUAGGUGAUACAUCUUACUAGCAAACAUACGAGUAGCAUUAAUUUUUCUUUCUCAAUCUAUUAGAACUCCUAGGUGAUACAUCUUACUAGCAAACGUACAAGUAGCAUUUCUCUUUCUCAAUCUAUUUGGUGGUAACCAAUCGACAACUGGAAGAGGUAGUUGUUAAGCAAGAGUGGACAAUGGCGAGAAUGAGUUGGAGCUCGAAUCCUCUCGACCUGUUGCCAUGUGUCGAGCCCACGGUGGGAGCACUCAUCAGGCACGUGCACCAAACCCGCCGAACGAACAGAGUUUUCCUUAUCUACCCAAAGCGUCACAAGUAUGUAUACACAAUAUAUUCCAACCAGGAAUUUAAUAUAUUGAUUGUAUAAGGAAAGUAUCACAAGAUAUAAAAGUUAAUACUACUUCUAUUAUAUAAUUUGUUUUAUUUAAUUACACAUAUUAUUUUUCUUUCAAAAAUACAAUCCAAAAUAUUACAUUACAUUUUCUUUGCUAGUACAUCGUCCAAAAUAGGGUAUGUCACACCCGAGCUCUAGCGGAAGCCCACCCGGCGCUUGCACGACCCACCGUGUACACACACUAGGCAUCAAUAACAACUAAAUAAAGAAGUAGAAAUAUAACCUAAACAAGGUGAUUAGAGCAAGUACAUAAUUCUACUGCAUAAACAAGUCUAUUACAAUACAAAAAAAUCAUACAAAAGAGUACAUCUUUCACAUUAAAACCAAAAGAAAGAUGUCAAUGGGUCUAUUUAUAGCAACACUGAGGAGGCUCUAGUUAGUCGCUAACCCCUUGCCAUGAUCCCUAGCCUCUCCCGUUGUAGAAGGCUCUGAAACAAAAACAAGUAACCAAUGGGGGUUAGAACUAUUAACAGUAGUUCUCAGUGGGUAAGCCGCCAAGAGUAGCGAAAUACAUUACUAGGUCAACUGAAGUAAAGAUAAUUUAUAACUAAAAUAUGAAGCAUAAAUGUAGGAACUGAAACGAAAUGGUUCUACUACUAUCUUGCCUCAAGGUGAUAAUGCCAGCUAACAUGAAUGUGGCUCUACCACUGUCAUUUGUACAAAUAUGCACAAGUUUACAUGGAUGCCCAUCUCUAUACUGAAAAGUAAAUUUCUCAUUAUUAUCAUGCCAUUACACUACAAUACUAAUCAAUAUGUACAUGGAUCUGCUGCCAUUAAGUAUGCAAGUAUGAGUAAUGACCAAUAUGAAUGUUCGACUACUAUGUAUGCAUCAACUAGUUAUGAUGUAUAAUGUCAUGUUUACUUAACUUUUAUCCAAUCAACAAGGGACUUACACAUGGUAACGUCCCGACUUGUGUCGUGCCUAAUAGUCCUGUGGUAGUUAACAUUCCCCCUCUAGGAAUGAGCUUCACCUACAGCAUUCCACUUUGGCGCCCAAUCCUGCACGGGCGAGCAUGAUGUCGCAAAGGCCAUGUGCAUUUAACAUCACAAGCUCAAUGGAACGACUUAAUUAAGGCAUGAAUGACAAAUUUAUAUAAUUGCUUAGUCAAAUGAGAGGUAAUUACUUGCAUGACAAAUUUCAUUCUCCAUAUAGUGGAGGCUUAUGUAGCAAGCCACAUGCAUGACAUGAAAUAUGAACUUGGUUGACAUCCUCAUAUUCUUUGAAUAUGGCAUUAGUAAAUUAUUCUCUUACAUACUAUAGUGGAAAUAGUAUACAUCUGUAACCCUCUAUGGUUAUGCAUGAGUUAAGGAACCAUCCUUACUAGGAUAAAAGAGAUGAGUGGUAGUGUGAGACCCUAGAUAGUCAUAUAUAGAGGAUAUAAUAGGGCUAAAACUCUUAACCUCGCUUAAGCAUUUUGGGUGGUGGCUAAGCCUAAGAGGUUAAGAGAGUUAAGCGUGCUAGGAUGGGAGUAGUCCUAGGAUGGGUGACCCCCUGGGAAAGUUAGGGCGCCACAGUUGGUAUCAGAGCCAAUUACCAGCCGAAAAUGUGAGAUAAGUCUUGGCUGAGCCAGGGUCGGAAUGACAAGGCUAGCGAGAUGAGUCUCACAUUGCCUGGUACUUGUGAGUCUGAGCCUGACGAGGACAUCAGUGUUUAAAGAGGGGGAGAAUGUGAGACCCCAAAUAGUCCUAUAUAUAAGAUAUAAUAGAGCUAAAACUCUUAACCCGGUUUAAGCAUUUUGGGUGGUGGCUAGGCCCAAGAGGUUAAAAGAGUUAACCGUGCUAAGACGGGAGUAGUCCUAGGAUGGGUGACCUCCUGGAAAAGUUGGGGCAUCACAGGUAGCAUCAUAUGAGACACUACAUGAACUAGUGGAACUAUUGGACUUGUACUUGCAUGGCAAUUUUUUUUACUUGCUAUAGUAGAAAAGAAAAGCAUGGCACCUUGCAUGUUAAUGAUAAAUUGUAGAGCUAUGAAUAUUGUACUUAACUAGAGAUGAUAUCAUGACAUUGUACUCGAUCUCUAGGCCGUUAGAUGAUAUUUCAUGUUUUAGACAUGAUGAUUGAUGUUCCUACACGUUUGAUCACGCUUGCUUGCCUUUGUGCUAUUUGCACAAGCUUGUGAGGGUCGCUUUUUGCGGCUACCCUAAUGGCAUUUGUAAGGUAAUGGAUUCUCGUCGUGUUAAAUCACUUUUGGUCAAAAUGACCAAAGCGUGGCGAGAGAGAUGGUUGGACAUAGUCCAUAUGACAUUCCAGUAAUAUUGAAAGGGUUAAAGUUGAGUUUCAAGUGAGACUAAUGAGUUUUAGUAUUGCUAAGCGCGAAAUGGAGCUAAAGCAUUGCCAAAACUGCAGUCUGGGCACUGCGUACCGAUACUGUUAAGGAUUUUAUAGGUUGGCGGAUUUCGUAAUGUUGAAUGGAGUCUUGAAGAGUUGAUUGCGGAAGAUUGAAGAAAAGAUCUAAAUUGAAGAAUAAAGACUCACUCGUAAAGUUCGGCACCUAAGGUAUGAAGAAAAGAUCAUUUGUGGUGAAGAUACUUAAUUAGAAUAAGUUCAGAAGGCUUAGAUUGCUUUAAAAAUAUUUUACUGAACUUUUCUGUGUUCAGGGACCGGUCCCUGAGUUCAAGAGACCGGUUCCCCUAAGGUCCUCACUGCGUGAGCUUUGAUGCAACCGGUCCCCUGAGAUGAGAGACCGGUUCCCGAACCUUGGUAUUUCUGUCGCGNNNNNNNNNNNNNNNNNNNNNNNNNUACGAGGAACCGGUCUCAAGCUUGAGAGACCGGUUCGCCGAACGUUGUGUUUUUGGUCACGCAGCCAGGGACGGUUAUUCUCACUUGAGAGGCCGGUCUCUCAAGACCGGUCUACCUCGAGGAUGACCGGUCUCUGAGGACGCACAGGUUUUUAAAAAAGAUUUUUGCAAUCCUAGUCUUACUUCUUAAGUUUCUAAAAUAUAAAUAAGUUAUUGGGUCAUCUAAAAGUUUAAGGCUUUGAAUAUUUACUUGAUCUAAACCCUAGAAACUUGUUUUUCGUUUUGUUGAUUCUAUUCAAUAACAAGUUUCGGGAAAUCAACAAUCGACGUGAUUCUUCGAUUUUACUCGAGAUCUUCUUCGAGAAUCAAGUUGAUGGUUGAUUAGAAGACAAACCUCAUAGCUUAUGGUAUUCAAAGGUUAAAUAUCACAAAUAUCUUCGAUUCUACAAGCUCGAAAGGAAGGUUCGGCGCGUGUGAUUUCGCGUGAAGCCGAGGAUUCGGUGGACGCUUCGAGGAGUUUGAGGCGCGUUGACGCUGCGAGGAGUUGCAGCAAGGUCGGUUGGUGGAUUCCUAUCGAUCGAGGACCGGCGAAGAUCACCAUUAAGCAAGAAUCGGUAAAUUGAGUCGUGUAUUUUUUGUCAAAUCACUUGUACUCAAGUUUUCUUAGUGGAUUUUCUUUGUGUGAUCGGUCCGUGGGUUUUUUCACUCCGAUUUGGUGUUUUCCCACGUUAAAUUCUCGUGUGUGCUGUUUUAUUUUCGCUACUUUGUUUUAUUUUGCAUCGAGAUUUUUCGAGUUUGCCGUUUUUACACCUAUUCACCCCCUUAGGUGUUACUUACCAUUUUAGAUCCUCGGGAUCAUAUCUUACAGGUGGAUAUCAGAGCGGGUAUAGGUUGUAAUACAUGGCUGGAGGGCGGGUAACAUCAAUCGACCCCGCUCUUGAUGCAUAUAAUUACGCUUAUUGGAAAGUCCGUAUGAGGGCAGUUUCUUAUUGCUAUCGACUAGCGGGUAUGGUAACGCCAUUGAAUUUCGGGUGGAAACUUUACGAAGUUGUCGAGAAUGUUAACUGUGACGAAACUAGAAAUAAAUGGACGAAAGAGGAAAAUAAACUAUCUUCGUUCAACGGGAAAAGUUACAAUGCUUUAUUUCAAUGCUUUAAAUCAAACUGAAUUUUCUCGGUCUAGCGUGCGAAACCGCCAAAGAGAUUUGGGACACUUUUGCGAGUUACACACUGAGGGUACAAGCUUGGUUAAGGUUUCAAAAAUGCAAAUGUUACUAGUAAGAUUUGAUUACAUUUCGUAUGGAAGAACAUUGAAUUUUUAGGAGUACAUUUAUACUCAUUUGCAAGACAUUGUAAACACGUGUGGCUAAUUGGGCGAAGAAAAUUCCCGAUUCCAAAAUUGUUCGAUAAAUUUGAGGAACCAUUCCCGACGAUUUCGUCCUAAGUUGCGGUGAUUGAAACGGUCAAAUAUCCUGAUGAAUCAAGGUAGAAGAAUUGAGGUGGUGCUCUUCAAACUUAUGAAAUGACUUUUUCUUCUAAUUCGUCUUUUCCAAGUCUUUUUCCAAAGCUUCAGGGAUGGCUUCUAAAAUCAACAAAAGGAGAUGUCAACUCAACUUCAUCAGAAUUCAGAGUCGGAGCAAACUGGGAGGAUUUGAAAAGCAACUAGCAACUUCUAACAAAGAAGUUUCGUCGGAAUUUAGAAAGAAUUUCCUCCAAGUCUACUUCUUCCAAGACAAAUCAAAUCUAAAGGAGGGUCGUCUUUUUCUUGCUUCAUCAAAAUACAGAAAAUUCGGAUAACUUUCAAAAGGACUUACAAAAGAGAAGAAAAACAGUGAAGGUCAAAUUCAAUGCUAUAAGUGUAGGCGGUUUGGCAUAUUGCAUCUGACUGUCGAAUAAAAAGGUGUUGAGAAGAAAAGCGAUGCAGCUAUUACUUGGAGAAUCCUCAUCUUGACGAUUCACUUCGAGUGAAGAGGAUGUAAAAUUGCCACGGCACUGUUUGCACAAAAUUCAACUUACAUGUGUUUAGCAUGUGCUGACUCGAUCUCUAUGACAUCUAUACAUGAGAAGUCAUCUUUCGGAGAGAACUCAUCAGUUGAGAAUCGGACGAAGAUGACAUGGUCGCAGUCAUACCAACAAUGGUUGUUGAAUCAAAGAAGAUGGCUAAACAUACAAGAGACUGCGGCGAAGUUACAUGAGUUGGAACAAGAAAAUUCAAAAUUGGCCUCAUUAACAAAGGAUCUAGAGCAAGAAAGAGAUGGGUUGACAGGCUUACAACUCUUUACUGAGAAGUGUUCGUUACUUGAAAAAAGAAAAGAAGACUCAGGUGGAGAACAUCAAUUUUCUUACAAGCAAAAUCAAGCUAGAGAAGCAAAUAUAGAAUUCACCAAGACGAUCAUUCAAUUGAAGUCGGAUUUGAACCAAUUUUUGUCUUUGGCUCGAGCAAAUAGACAAAGAUGGCUUUUGACUUGGUCAACAAAUAAACUUGGACUUGGUAUGGAACGGACAUAUAUUGAUCAAGUAACGCAGAAAGAUUGAUGGAAAUCGUCAACUGCUGUUCUAAACUUUUGGUAAGUUCGGUCUCUCUAAAAUAAUUUGGGCUAACAAAACUUGUCAUAUUUGAUGCGUGUUUUAGGACAAUAAAGAAAAUUUGCUAAAAAAGGGAAAGAGCUCAAUAGCACCAUGAAAGUAAUCUAAAACGGCAACGAAGUCAACUGUGACUCCAAAGAAGGUAGAACAUAGAAGAGACAAACUUGGACACAAAUACUCGAAGCCAAAGGCCAAAACAAGCAUGGAAACCAAAGAAGGAGGAUAUGAAGAGGAAGUCAAUUAAAUCUCGUGACAAGCCACAAGCACAAAAGCAAGUGAAUCGACGCAACCCAAAAACGUAAGGUUUGGGUGCACAAAGGUUGAACUCUUCCCUUGCUAUCAUUCACAUUCGCUUCAUUGCUUACGAAUAAUACUUACAUGGUAUCUAGAUAGUGGCUGUUUCCGCCACAUGACGCGAGAUAAAAAUUGGUUUACUUCUUUGAACAAAAUCUCUGGAGGAUUGUUGUUUUGUCGGAGACGGUCGAUCAUCAAAAAUUUGCGGAAAAGGAACAGUGACUAUCUCAGAAUGGUUCUACUUGAAUGAUGUUUUCUUAUGUUGAGGGGCUGAAAUCUAAUCUUGUAAGAAUAAGCCAACUGUGUGAUGAUGGGUAUUCUGUGAAUUUUUUUGAUAAAGAUGCCAUGUGACUCGUGAUGACAAUCUUUUCUUAAAGGGAUUAGAUCUCAAAAUAAAUUGUUAUGUAGUUCCUAGUUUUUCGAAUGAACAGUUGUAACCUGGCGUCAUUUAGAAACUGAGACUGUUUAUGGCAUGAACGACUAGGUCAUAUAAACUUAAUGAUGUAUCCAAGAUAACCUGAGAAGGAGGUUUGUUAGAGGUGUACCUAAGAUUGACUUCAAAGAGAACACUAUAUGUGGGCUGUCAAUUGGGAAAACAAACUAGGUCUGCCUCAUAAGAAUUUGAAUCAUUAGGGACAUCUAAACCUUUAGAAUUACUUCACAUGGAUUUGAUGGGACCAUCUAGGAUUCAGAGUUUGGGUGGAAAACGUAUAUUUUGCUCAUUGUUGAUGAUUUUACUCGCUUUGUUGGAGUGCCUUCUUAUGAAAAAAGCUGAUACUUUUGAUAUUUUUUCUGAAAUUCUGUCUUCGUCUUAUGACUGAACGGAAUGAUAAAAUUGUACGUAUUCGAAGUGAUCAAUGGAGGGGAUUCAUAAAUUCAAAAUUUGUUAUGAAUUCUAAAUUUGUUGAUUUUCUGUGUUUCAAAUGGUAUAAAAAUGAAUUCUCGGCCCCCUAUACAUCCAACAAAACGGAGUGGUUGAACGUAAGAAUCGGGUUGUACAGGAGAUGGCUGUGUCAUGCUUAUAGUAAGAAAAUUGCUUUACACUUUUGGCUGAAGCUGUGAACACGGCUGUCUAUGUUAUCAACGGAUUAUGUGCGCCGGGUACCGUUGAAUACUCCUGUAUGAACUUUGUGUGUUAGUAGGAAACUAAUAUUAAAUACUUUCGAUGUCUUCGGGAGUAAAUAUUUUAUCCUUCGAGGUCGUGAAAUCUUGGUAAUUUGACUCUCGAAGUGACGAAGGGAUUUUUCUUGGUUAUUUAUACAGUGUGUGCUUAUCGUGCGUACAAUUUACGAUCUAAGACGGUGAUAGGAUCUAUCAAUAUAAAAGUAGAUGAAGCUUCUCCUGUGAGUUCGUUCUGUGAAUGGUUUGUAUCUUCUGUGCGUGAAUGAUGAUGAUAAUUGAUCUCCGUUUGUAUAUGCCUGGACUUGUGAAUGAUGAUAGUUUCUGCCACUGACAAUUCCAUUGCAUGUUCUGCAAAUUAUUGCUUCAAAUGAUUCAUUCUAAGCCUCAAAACACCUCAUCAGAAAUACCAAGUAUAUCUCCUGAGCAUACACCCUUGACAGAGGGUCGAGAGAUCAUCUCUAUCGAAUGUAAUUGGGAACCCUAAUGUUGGAGUGCGAACAGAAGUCAACUACAGUGUUGAAUUUGCAUGCUAUGUAUCUUUGAUUGAGCCAAAGAAUAUUUGACGAAGCUUUAUGGUUUGUGAAUAUUGGAUAAAUGCAAUGCUAGAAAGAACUUGUUGUCAAUUUGUUCGCAAUGAUGUAUGGAAUUAGUGCCUCGUCCCUGACAACAACACAUCAUAGGAUACAAUAUGGAUCUUUAAGAUAAGAAAAAUAGAGGAUAGUACUAUUUGUUCGGAACAAAGGAGACUUGUUGCUCAGGGUACUCACAAGAUUGAGGGAAUUAGCUUUGAUGAAACCUUCGCCCGGUUGCCCGUCUUGAAUCUAUUCGUAUCUUGUUCGCGAUUGCUGCAUUUUAAAAUCAUUUUUUCAAAUGAUGUUAAAAGUGCGGUUUCUAAAUGGAUUUUUAAAAGAGGAAGUUUUAUGUUGAAAACGAAAGGUUUUAUAGCCUCAAAAUUUCCAAUCAUGUUUUUCGACUGAAAAAAGCACUUUAUGCGACUAAAACAGCUCGCUGAGCAUGGUACGAACGCUUGACAAAAUAUUCUUUUGGAAAAGGGCUAUAUACGAGGGGGAGCGGAUAGAACUCUCUUUGUUAAACACCUUAAGGAGAUUUCAUUUGUGCCACAAAUAUUGUUGAUGACAUAAUCUUUGGGGCAACUACAGAUAAAAUGCCAAUGAGUUGCUAAAUUGAUAGACAAGCGAUUUGAGAUGUCGAUGAUGGAGAGCUUAAUUAUUUUCCUUGGACUUCAAGUCAAACAAACUAAAGAUUGGAAUUCACUUGUGUCAAUCAAAUAUUGCCGAAAAGGAUCUGUAAGAAAUUUGGAUUGGACAGUGCAAAGGAAUUUGACAUCCAAGGGUACAAGUAACAAAGGACUUGGAUGUGAAUUCGGAAGGACAGAGCGUAGAUGAGAAACAAUACAGAACAUGAUUGGGAGCUAUUGUACUUGGACUGCGAGCAUGGCCAGAUAUUGCUUUUAGUGUUGGAAUGUGUGUGCUCGCUAUCAAGCUAAUCCUAAGGAGGUCCAUCUGAAAGCUUGUUAAAAGGAUCAUUUGGUACGUUAAGGGUACAAGCGCAUAUGGACUUUGGUAUCCUAUGGGAAAAUCUCUUGAUCUAAUCGGCUACUCCGAUGCUGACUGGGCAGGAUCUGCAGAUGAUCAGAAAGUACUUGUGGAGCGUGUUUUUACAUUGGACACUGUCUGGUUGCUUGGCACAGUAAGAAGCAGAAUUGUAUUGCUCUCUUCAACCUGCAGAAGAUGAAUACAUUGCGCCGGGAGUUGCUCUACACAAUUGAUCUGGAUGAAGAGUUUACUGAGCGACUAUCGGAUCCCUUUCACCACUCUUAUAUUCUUGUGACAUACAAGUGAAUUUAACAUUUCUAAAAACCCUUGUUUUACAUUCACGACAAAAAUAUUCAACUAAGUAUCACUUUUUAAGAGAAUUGGUUGAUAUCAAACAUUUAAGAACUAGAAUAUAUUUCGACUGAGAAAGUCAACUUGGCAUAUAUUUUAACUAACUUUGGAUCAAACAUUUUUGCAUUUAAGAAGCAAUUUGUAUGGAAUCCUGUCAAAUGCUAGAUAUUAUUCUAUUGGGCCAUGUUAGAUCAAUGUGCAUGUUGCAUUUUUGUUUUUCGUGAAUGGUUUCCGAUAUUAUCCUGAUUGUGUUGGGAGAGAUGAGUUGAAUUUCCUGAUUAUUGUUGAUGCUAUUUUGGGAGAUGACUAGGUCCGUAACUUAUUAUUUCAUAUUCAUUUUUGAUUGAUACUGUAUAAGUUUGCUCUGGAAUUGUGAUAUUUUUUGAACGAUGCAAAUCAUUGAGAUUCUUUUGCUAUACUGAAUAAAAAUGUAAGACUCAUGACUUCAAACUUUAAAAUGUUGCUAUUGUUAUGUUGAUUUAUGAGUUUUGAGAUGAAUAACUGACUUUUCUCUGUUUUUGAAAUUGAUAAUAAUUAUUUUUUGAUUGAAGGUUGCACUAAUUUAGGGCGAGAUUUUCCAGUUUGGUUAUGAAAGUUUUGAUAUUCAAGAUGUGGAAAAGAGUUUAAUCACCUAAUGGCGAGUGUGAAAAACUAGCCCACUAUGAGGAGAGUACCACCCGGCUCCGUGUCAGUGUGUGCAGCUACCAUGUUGAUGUACAGUUUAUCUAUGAACAAAGGUAAAGUACUUUCAGGGUAAAAAGAGGAAAUUUGCUCAAAGAGCUUUACAUCAUGUGGGUGAUAUAAGGUGGAAAUAUAAUAAAAAGAUGCUCAAAGAGCCACUCUGUUCUUUGAAAUAUUGUGCAUAACUCAAUUUUGAAAAUAUUAUUUUAAUUUCGACGAUUCUAGAGAAUUAUUUAUACAUUUUCUUUAACAAAUAAUGAUGAUAAACAUUGGAUACAAUCAUUUCAUAGGUCUUGCAGGGAUGUGUAGAAUUUCUAUUUUAUAUGUGAUCUAGAAUUUGUCAUUGCUAUUUUCGGAGCCAACAAUGGUUUUGACCAAAUUGAGUUAUCUAUGAAAUUGAUCUGAGAAAAUUAUUUUAUGAUUUUUCUUUGACAGUUUUGUGGAAUGCGAAAUUGAGUAUUUUUGUUGGUUUUAUCAUGUGGACUUCAUAUAUUUUUUACUGAAUUUUUGGGGAGACUUAUCUGAAAGUUUUAAAAUUCUGGUCUCUGCGGACGUCCCAGGCAGAGAGAGGCCGGUCCCUCCGCCCGACCGAUAAAAGGUUUACUGCUUGAAUGCAGUCUUUACUGUGUCUCUUCUUUUUCCUGUCUUUUUCUUUUCACUUCUCUUACUCCAGGUCGAUUUUCAGCUCACAUUGUCGUGGAUUAGCAACUGAUUUAGGUGAUUUUUUCAAAAAUUUUUACAUCUGUUGGAUUCUCUGUACUGUCAGUCUUAUGACAGGGGUGGUCGCGGAAGCAAACGAAACGCUCCUUAGGUAACACGGCACUCUGUUGAGUUCAACGCGAAGAUGAGCGGAGUGAAUAGUGGCCCAGGUGAUUGAUCUGAGGUAGGAAGAGCCGGACUGGGGGCUUUUACUCAAGAGCAGUGUUGCGCUAAGAAAAGGAUACAGAAAAAGGAAAGCGAAGGACAACCUAGUGAUAAAGGAAGGCAAAGUCGUGGAUAAAGGAAAGGAAAGGAAUCUGUUGUCACGCCACGGGACCCAGCGGGGAGCCCGCCGGGCGCUUGUGCCCAGACCGCGCAUAUGAUCUACAAAUAUUAAGGAGAUUCUAAAAAACAACAAUAAUAACCCAGCAAUAAUAAAAACACUUCUAGAAGUUAUCAGAGAUACAUAAAAUGAAUUAAAUGCUACAUCAAGACAGAUAAGGAUAUAAACAGCAAAUCCACUAAAUAACAAAUAGAGUAAGAACAAUUAGGAAAUCCCAAUACAAGAGCUAUAAAGUAGGUACAUAGCGGUCUCUAUACAUGGAUACAAAAUCUCUCGCUCUCUUCUAACUACAAAAAGAAGAGUGAUCACCAAUUAGGAUAAUACGCUUUCCGAUAAAUAAUUCCUCUUCUUCUUGUUUGUUUGUUUUUUUGGUGGUCAUUCUGGUUGUAUGACUCAAACUAUUUGAGUUAUGGAUAGCUUGUUUGUUUGUUUUUUUGGUGGUCAUUUGGGUUGUAUAAACUCAAACUAUGAACUUAAUUUUAAAGUAUUUAGCUUAUGGAUUAUGAUGUAUAAUGCUUUAUAUUUAAUGGAAUUUGGUCGGCAUAUAUAGCUGCUAUGAUCAUAUGUCAACCUGCUUGCAUCAAUGUGUAAAAUUGAUGAACUUUUAUUAAAUGACUUCUACAUGCUAAAAGUAAAAAUUGCAACAUUUUUUACACUUUUAUUGGUGAAUAAUUAAAAAUUUAUGGUGAAUAAAAUAAAAAAAUUUAUGAUUUUUCAAACUACUGAAAAUUACUAUUUGCUGGCACUUUAGAAUGUCUGAAAAAAUAUUUCUAUUGGUAAUAUUAGCUGCCACCAAAUAAGCUUUUGAUGGUAGCUAAGAUUGCCGCGAAAUAUCUAUUUGCCGGUAAUUGAAAGAGCCGCGAAUGUAUUAUUUGCUGGCAUUUAAAUUGCCAUGAUAAAUAGUAUUUUUUGACACUUCAAAUUGCCAGUAAAAGCUUGUUUUGCCGGCUCUUUUCUUUUGCCGACAGUUACUUUCCAGGCCAUUUACAAACUGCCAGCAUUGAUUUUUGCUGGCAUUUUGCACUACUUUUGCCGGCCCUUUUGAUGGCCCUUAAACAUGGUUUUUCUUGUAGUGUGGGUUGUAUAAGUUUAAACUUAAAGUCGUGCUCUGAUUACCUGGUUAGAAUUAUAUUCUUUUACUAUAUGGUUUGUAGACGCCUUGUGUAUACUUGAGUUGUGGUGUACACGGCGGGUCUGUGCACGCGACCGGAUAUGCUUCCGCUGGUACCCGGGCGUGACAUCCGGUGUGCGCCCCCCCAUCUUUGAAGGUAUUAGAAGGCGAACUCGAUACUUUCCACACUUUAACGAUCGCCGGAUUUGCUUCCUACAACGCAAAAUAGUGCCAAAUUAGGCCCAUUAUACAUGAACUAUACUUAGACAUUUUCGUUUCGACGAACGGAGUUGCCCAAUGCGUCAAGGACACCCCUAAUUAGGUUUCUACGGAGUCAAUUCGUCCCCGAAAAAUUCUAGGGCAAAAGCCCCAAAUUUCAGCCUUAACAAUGCCAUCUAGGGUUUCCUCUUAGAUUGAUCUCUCUCCUAAGCAAACGAUAGCUUCGAAUCAUCUAAGAGGUUCUCUAAUAAGGUUUCCAAGCUUUUGGAACCAUCCCUUGGGCUUCUAAGGUGAACCCUAACAAUCCACCAUGUGAGCACUUGAGCUAACAUGGGGUCCAUGGAGUCCAAAGCUUAUAGUAGGUUUCCAAGGCUAAAAACAACCCAAAACUCCAAAUCUUAGGGAUCAAAACCAAACCCUAGACUCAUUUGUACCAAAACCUCACCUUAGCCCAAAGUCCCUCCAAGUCCUUCUUGUAGGAGAGCUUGUAGAACCCACCAAAGCCUCCAAAGUCCACUUUCGAAGCUUUUUCUUCUUCUUCUUCUCCAAGCUCUAGAGCUAGGAUUCUAGAGAGAGAAAGAGAUGAAUGAGAGUGUGAAGGUGGAAAUGGCUGUGGGAGAGAGAGGGUUGGGUGUAUAAUGUGUUGUAACAUUUGCAACUAGGCCCUCCCACUUUGAAUCCAGUGCACUGCCCAAACUAAGUAAUUUUCGCAGUGAGGGACCGGUCUCCCCGACCUGGGACCGGUCCCCGAGAGCUUCUCCCGCGGUCAGCACAGUCUGCGUGCGAUGCAACCGGUCUCCCCCAAUGGAACCGGUCUCAGGGGACCGGUCUCUCCCCGCAGGGACCGGUUCCCGAGAGCUGGUUUUUCGGGACUUAGCCGAUUUUUCGGCCUGUUCGGAUUCUCCGCGUAUGGACCGGUCUCUCCUUCAGGGACCGGUCCCCGAGAGUCCAAAUUCUGGGGCUUUCCCAGAAUUGCAGUUUCACUCUCUCGGAUCCCUUUUCACUACAUAUAUGGGCUCUAAUGCACUUAGGGCCCACUCCAACUCGUUCAAAUCCGCGUUCCGCUCAUUUCGACGGAACUCGGCACAAUUUACGAGGAAUGUGAUAUGUUACAUUAUCCAUGAUGUUGUUGAAGCAAUAGUAGCAUGAUAGUUGGUUUCAUUGCUAUAUAGUUACUUCACUUGUAUCAUGUUGACUGAGGCAUAGUAUUAUGAUAGUAGAUUUCAUUACUAUAUUAGCAAUUCUUAUUAUUCCAUUAAAUAUCUUCUUAUGCCUGCUUAGAUCUAGUCAGAAGAUCGGCGGAGUUGGCGGUCAAACCUACUGGAAACUAUUAUUAGCUCUCAUCCUAUUUUGUUGCAGGGCCUAGCUCGAGCGGACCGGGCGAGGAUCGUGGUAAGGGCACAGCGCCCUAGUUAGUAGCCUCCUUUUGCAUUAGAGUACCUUGUACCUUGAAGAGAUAUGAUGUAUUUUGAGAGAGGUUACUUGUGGAUGUAUGUAUAUCUCAUGAGAUGGACAUGUAAACUAAAUGUAUGUAUUUUGGAGAUGAAAAUGUAAACCAACGAUGUGAAUGUUUAAUGAAAUUGUAAUAGCUAGUAUUUCUCUUUUGUGGCCUUGCUUGUAUCAUACUCGUAAUGAUUCAUGUAUGUUGUUAUGUUUACCUAGGCAACUAAAUGUAUAUGAUCCCUGUUGUUGAGCCUUGGGCGGACAGGGAAAGUUCUGUCCGUUCGGCGUCUGUUUGGCGUACCCAAACCGACCAAAUAAGCGGUUAUGGGGCGUGACAGCAUUAAAAUAAUGUAUUAGGACAGCGAAUGAGGUAGGCUUUGUGUGGGACUUGUUUUGGAAUGCCCCGUGGAUUGGGGUGACAUUCUGACGAGUUGGUGCAACAAUCAGGUGAUCUUUCGGUGACCGUGGAAUGGCAUCCGAAAACCCGAUUGCUCGCCUGUUGGUUUCACUUGAAACCAUAGUUUUUAUAGAUCAUUAUAUUAUUUGUGUUGUGUGGUUGUAUGUAUGGUUGACUAUGUUUUGAGUUGCUACACCAUGCAUUUAAAAGGGAUACUUUGUUCGUCUAUACUAGAGAUCCUUUGUUCAUGUGGUGGGUCUGUGUGCAUUCGCGGGGUGUUCUUAAAAGUGUUCAAAAAAAAAUUUACACAUUUUUCACUAACUUUCCUAAAGAAGGAUUUUUCAAAAGAAUCUCGGGGCGUGACAGUAAACUAGAACUGAAUAAACAAGAAUAUGGUCUACUAAACUAUAAAUAAGCAUCUACUAUCAUAUCUCUAUAAAGAAAUACUGGGAAUUGUGAAUCAUCUCUCAUAUGCAUUAACUCGAAUAACUGGUAAUAAAGGUCAUAUCACCCAAUCACAUUGACGAGCGUAUCAGCUUGGUCUAACCUAUGCUUUAUCUAGUGGAACAGCGAACCAACACACCUGAACCAAUAAGGCUCUCAACUAAGGUAGCUCAAACACUUGCACAGCUAGUGUAGCUAAAACACUCACAUAGUUGCCCCGUUCAACUUUGGAGGCCUGUCUCACUAGGAAGUGACUGUCACACCCCAGUCCCUAGCAGAAGCCUACCUGGGUACAUGCACAAACAUGCCAUGCACACAAAGACAAGUCCUCGAUACACACAAAGCAUCUACAAUCAUAACAUCCAUAAAGAAGAAAUGUACAUCCUACAUAUGGUGAUCAUAACAUAAAAUGUAAAAUACACCAGUAUAAACAUUUUCAUACGAUUAAUACACAUACAUGAAAUCAACCUCAACAUGUAGUAUUGUCAUCUACAAUAUCUGAUGAGUACAUAAUCUCCAAAAAUAACAUCUCAACAUAGAAUGCAACUAAAUAUAACACAGAUCUCUUGUCCACAAGGCUAACUAAUGUAACACACUGGACCUGUGCAAAUUGCGAGGUUCGAGUGUUUGAUUUGGGUUCCAAGCUUUUCCACACUUGGUGGAAGGUCGUAGACCGUAUUCCGACCUAAAAGUUCGAAAUCUGGAUUUUGGCUAAGUCCUGAGAGUUUCACUCUCGGGGACCGGUCCUUGGUGGGGAGAGACCAGUCCCCCGUCGCGUGUGAUGCGGCCGAGCCCGAGGCAACCGGUCCCUGGCUGAUGAGACCGGUCCCCGAGCGCAUCUUAGCGGGGAGAGACCGGUCCCGUGCGGUGAGAGACCGGUCCCCGAGAGCUGGUUUUGCGGGGUGGCCCUGAGAGACCGGUCUCAGGCAGGGAGAGACCGGUCCCUCAGUGCGAAAACUGCCCAGACCAGGCAGUGCACAGGAUGGAUUGUUAGGGGACCUAAGUGGAUUUUGUUGCUUGAGAGGGCUUAUAUGGUAACUUCUCUCCCUCUCUCCUUUAUUUCUCUCCAUCACAAUCUCUCUACAUCUCUAGAAAGAGAAGAAAAAAGAGAAGAAGAAGAAGGAGGAGAGGAAGGAGACCUUGUUGGUGGAUUUGAACUUCUCACUUUCCCUCUCCACUCAUCUUUGGAGACUUGGAGCUUGCUUGUGGGGCUUGGUGGUGGAUCAAUCUUCAACCCUAGAGUAUUUUGAGCUUGGUUUGGAGCAUCUUAGAGGUAAGUGACUAGCUUCCUUCCUCUAGAUCCUAGUUUUGGAGUUUUAAACUAGAUAAAACCCUAGAUGUGGAUUUUAGGGUUUAUUUUUGGGGAUUUUUGAUUUGAGAGCUUUGGGACCCAAUUGAUUGGUUUAAAAUCCUUGUUUAGGUGGGAUUGGAAGGACUCUAACUCCCAUUUGGAGAUCGAGAGAACUUUCUUCGCAUUCGGUGAGUUUUUCUCCACCUUAGCUUGAGAUGGUUAAUGAUCAACCUUAUGGUUGUUCGUAAGGUUCGUUUAACUCUUGUUCCUACAUCUUUAGGGUGCUAGGAGACUAGUGGAUACCUUCGUCGGAGCAAACGAAGGAGCACAAGAGUUGUGGUGGGUUUGGCUUCAUGAAAACGGGGCAAAAUGGCCCCUAUGCCUUCUAUACUUGUCGUAACGUCUUUUUGGAUGCAAAUCUAUGCUAAAUAGAAUUUAUGUGAAUUUUGGAACACUUAAAAUGCAUGCCUUAUGUAUCAUAAAAUUUUCACUCUAUGUAGUAGAGUAUUCUGGGUCUUUAGCAUGCAUGUGGGAAGUCGUUCUUUUGCGAGUUGGGUACUUAUCUCGUACAAUGAAAAUGAUUAGAAUUAUGCAUUCAUGAGCAUAAUUAUCAUGCUUGGACAUAGAGACCAAAAGUGUCAUAAAGGGGCACUUGGAAUAGCAAACUAUGUAACUGUUAUCUGAGACUUAGUGAUAGGCCAUUGACAUCUUUUAUAUUCCAUGUUAGAGACAUGAUGACAUAGAGAUAGGCUAUUAAGACAUUUGAUACACAUUCCAUGUUGGUAGACAUGAGGACUUGGUACUUGAGACGGAUCUUAUGCUACUUGCCAUUGUGCUCAUUCACACAUGGUUGUGAGGGUCGCUCCCUACAAGCCGGCACUCCGGAGAUGGCCAUCGCGAUGCAUAUUCGCCGUGCGGGAUUGGGCGCCGAAGUGGAUUGCCGUGGGCUAGGCUCAUUCAUAGAGUAGGGAUGUUGACUACUACGGGGCCAUUAGGCUCGGCACCGGCCAGACAGCCUACGGGUGGGUCUCAGGGCCAUAGACAGCCUUCGGGUGGGUCUCUUCAGAUUUGACUUGAAGCAUUCAUCAUGCCAUGUGGACAUUGAUUAGAAUAGUAAAUAAUGACAUCUUUACUAUUUGACCUAUAGACAUCAUACUAGCGAUGCUUGGAUACAUUCAUAUGAGAAUAGCUUUUCUUACUUAUACUAAAUCAUGCUAAGUAGAGAUAUCAUGUGGUAGCAAAUAUUCAUGCUUAUUUACUUGUCGUACAUAUCGCUCUUGUUUAUAUCUGUUUAAUGCCCCCUUUUUCAAUUUGGGCCUAGUGGUGCAUUUCACUGAAGCUAGUAAUUGCCCACUGGGAACUAUUAUUCAAUAGUUCUCACGCUCUCUGUUUUAUGGUUUUAUUUCAGAGCCUUCGGCGCCGGCGGAGGCACGGGAUCGCGGCAAGGGAGUCGCAUAGCUAGAUAGCGGAGCUUGCUAUUGCUCUUAGCUGGUCACUCUCUUCUUUUUGGUUUUUGUGAGAGAGAGAGUUAUGGUACCAUGUAUAGAGAGACCACCCAUGUAUUCGGUUUAGCACUUGUUAUGGGAUUUUUUUUUAUUAUAUUAUCUUAUACUUUUACUUAGUGGAUUUUCUGUUUCAUGUUUGUUCCUUAUUGUAGAACCUAGUUGUAUUUUGCUCUGAUAUCUUUAGACUCCCUCGUUCUACUGCAUUAUUGUCGUUUUAUUUUAGACGCCUUAUAUGUUUUAGAUAUAUGGCGGGUCUGUGCACGCGCCGGGCGGGCUUCCGCUGGGUCCCGGGGCGUGACAUAAGGUACACAUCAACCCUUCUCACAUAAGCCUCCAAAAUGAAAGGUGCAUCAGGUCCACCUCUAAACAGAUAAUAAUGUAGAGGUGAUAGGCUAGUUUUUCUAAAAACUCUCGGAUCUUAUAAAGAGGGAUAUAAUCCCUUUUAUAAUAAUAUAAUAACUAUUAAGAAAGAGAACAAAUCAAGAUUUACUUUUAUCUUAUCCUUAAUUGAUUCGAUCGAUUAAAUCCUAAUUUAAAUCUACUUGGACUCAAUCCAAAUUAAUAAUGCAAUAUUUGCACANAUUAAAUCCUAAUUUAAAUCUACUUGGACUCAAUCCAAAUUAAUAAUGCAAUAUUUGCACAAAAGUCCACUCAUAACUUACUAACUAUUAGUAAGCCCUCUCUUACAACAUUUGCAAUUUACUACCACUAAUUCAUAAUAACUACAAAUUAGUUCAAUUAUCAACAUAUUGACGGUUAGGUCCUCCGAUGAUUCAAAAAUCGUGAUCGAGCUUUUCGAUUAGUUGCAACCUCUUAUGUUUGUAACCCACAGGUUCUAUUCUAUCUGGUAGUGAAAUAUAUUCUGAUCACUAUCAAUAAUAUUACUAAAAACUCUUUUAAGUGGGUUGGAACAAUUCCAUCUCAGCCCAAUAAGAAUUAUCGAUAAUCCAGAUAACUCUCAUUAAUCUCACAAUCCACCAGUGACGCGUACAAGCAUGUAAUGGAAUUCCAGUAGAAUGGAAUAUUGAACCUCUUGAUACAGUUCUUCUAUCAUGAGUCCCAACUAGACGGAGGUCAUGGAAUAGCUUAUCAAACCCUAUCGUUUGUCAUAUGUCAAAUUUAUUCGACUUUAGUUUCUAAUAUUAAAAAGCCUUUCCAUUAUUAAUCUACCCUGGCCAAGGUUUUUUAAACUCGAUCGCGUAAAUCACAUAGGAUUAAUGCCCCUAUCUACCAAGAGAGAUAGGUUCCAUAUAGAUAUACACCCUAUUCCUACAACGAACCUACUACAAUCAACAUGCACCAGAAGGACCCGAAUGGCUAGGGACCAAGUGUAUGUACAAUCAAACUACAGUAACCUUAUCAUGAAUAGCCGAGGCAUUGCAGGUCAAAGGACCAGUCACACUACUACAACAUCGAGUAAGUCACUGAUGAGUGAGUAGAAAUCCAAGUGACUUCUCGUGUUGGUCACGCUCGGAACCCUUGUUUUCUAACAACCACCUGCACAUUCGCUCCAGUGUCCCCACACUGUUGACUCGUGACUCGUCUACCAAAAAGAGAAGCGACCUAUGCACCAAUCUCACCGGAUCAAUCACCAUCCCUGUAAUAACCCAUCGAUCGGGAGCAUUUAAGAAUUAACCACAAAUGGCACAUAUCUCAAAUUCUCAACUCUUGAGAAUACGUGUGAUCAUCUUAUUAAUUCCUUGGACGAUUCAUGAACACAUACACAACAUGAAUGAAAAUAAAAAUCCAAAUUCAUUCAUAAUAAUUUAAAAUCAAAUACAAAAUAAUGCAUGCUUCUAGGGCAUACAUCUAGCAGUAAGAACUACAAAAUAUAGUUCUGUCACACCCCGGAUUUCCACAUUUUUUCGGGCACGCUAACAGGCCUGCCGUAUAUAUAGAAAUUUUCCGUGUGUACGAAGCGAUAGCUGUACCUGUAAGCAAGUUAUAGCUACAACCAAGAGUAUAGAGCUGCUAGAAAAAAAGCAUAUAUAAAACAUAAAGAAUUCACUGUACAUACAACAUCAACAACCACACCUCACUCCAGCGAGUGCACAAAACAAAAAGUCUGUACAUGAAUACAACUCACUACCUCUGACGGGUACUCCGCUAGCACGGAAACCAGUGCUGGUAGGGAUCUAACUUGCGACUCCCUUACCAUGGUCAGAAUCAGUAAAAGCAGCAGCCGCAGAUGAAGGCUCUGCAAAAAGGUGCCAACAACUGGGUAUAAGAACUACUGCAAAAUAAAGUAGUCCUUAGUAGGUACCGUCACUGACCUCAACGGCCAAUCCACUAAAUCUACAGUAAUGAUAUGCACAUGAUAGUAAAGAAAGCUGAAAAAACUCUACAGCCACAUGUCUCUAUACUAUCGCUACCAAAACCAACUAACUGUAGACAUAAACAUGCAUCACUAGCUACCACUGACCUAAUCUCACACAGGCUGCCCAAGCGGACCCACCCUGCCUGUAACCAAGCUAUACCGUACACCACCCACGGGGAUGGUCGGUUCAAGAAAAAGGUCCAAACAGGACGGCUGCGACAUCAAUGCAAGUCAAAGUCUCACUCCGGAGCGGCACUCAUGGGCGCGACCCAACCGAGUAUGCAAGCGUGUCUCUACCGAACUCAAUCAGGCUCUCACAGGCUAUAGUCAAUGCAAAUGGGUCUAACUGGUCUAACAACAAAAACUCACGUGCACUUGGCACAAUCUGAUGCAAAUCUGGGUCCACCGUCAACCACGACAGGACCCAACAAUACGGAACAGUCUACACACUACUGUAAAACAAGCUCGGUCUGUCAGCACGAGCGUAAACUCAUCCUACACUAAUCUGAGUAUCCAGUACGCACUAACAGCGGGGAUAUAAAAGAACAACAGCUCCUGAAUCUAAAUCUGAUAACUUUCAAAAAAUGACAGUGCAGGUCGACACUUUUUAAAAGUGUUACUAUAUGUGGGGUCGCUAUAUAUAGGGUCGCCUUAAUGUUUGGCACCCACUCCUCUAGCGACCUGUCGCAGAGGGACACGUGGCAAUCGUAGCCCUCUACGGUCCUGCGAGAUCUUCGCGGUCGAACUCUAGCCGCCGGAACCCUAACUCAUCGGCUGCGGCAGGGGAGGAGAAAAAGUGGAGAUGAUGAUCAAUUUUUCUUUUUUGUUUUCUUUGUAUUUGUAAUCAGGCCGAAUGGGCUCAGUGGGGUUGGUUGAGUAGAAGAGUUUUUUGUUUUUGAUUUGAUUGAGCUUUAUAUUUAGACCUUAGUAGAUUUUUUAAAAAAGUUUUGGUAUAAAUAGAACACUUAUAUAAAAGUGUCUCAAAAAUAUAUUCCUAUAAUCUAAUUCUAUUAUAGUGACAUGUGUGGAGCUUAAAAGAGAACCAAUUUCACGAUCAUCAGAUUGCAGUGUAGAUCUACUCGUGCAAAAGUGAUGAUUAGAUCUUUCUUCUCUUUUAAUUUUAAAUACAUGAGGGAUCUUAUUUUAUGUGGUUCGAGAUCGGAUCACGAGUUUUAAAAUCAAAUUUUGUCUAAUUUUUCUUUCUGCUGCACUUUUAUCAUACUAGAGACAGUAGUUGACUUGCUUCUUAAUCAGGUAACGCCCAGUGCUCCAGGCUUUUAAGGCCUUUUGCACUAUGUUGAUCUUGUUCGAGAAAUUCUCGGCAAGGUUGGUAGAUGGCAGAGUAGUGCUCCACACGUUCGAGACAAUUUCAUAAUUACGAAGCCAAACAGUAGUCUCGAUGCGGAAAAGCUACAAAGAAGGGAUAAAAGAACUUAGCCGAAAGGAGAAAAGGAGCAUGAUCCGACACCGGGCGUGGCAGAGCUCUCAGUAGAGAAUUAGGAAACGCCAAACUCCAACUAUCUAUAAACUAUUAUGAAUCCCCGUGGGAUUCAAACUUUCUCCUUAUUUUAGGAAAAAAGUGGGACCCACCUCUUCUGUAAAUGUACAGAAUAUAUUUCUUUAGUGGGGUCCACUAAAUAAUUAUGUUUAGCAGAAUAGGAAACGUUUACACAUAAUUAAAAAUAAUUAAAAAUAAUUAAUGUUUAAUGGAAUAAGAAAUAUUUGGAAGUUAAUUGACGAGCCCAUAAAUGCUAUGGUGUUUCUAUAUAUGUAACGUUUCACAUAAACACAAAUUUUUUUAGAAAAAAUAUACAAUAAUACAUGUCCAAUAAUUUAGGUAUUUGUUCUUAGGUGUCUUAAAAAAUUAAACUCUAUUAUGAAUCCCCGUGGGAUUCAAGCUUUCUCCUUAUUUUAGGAAAAAAGUGGGACCCACCUCUUCUGUAAAUGUACAGAAUAUAUUUCUUUAGUGGGGUCCACUAAAUAAUUAUGUUUAGCAGAAUAGGAAACGUUUACACAUAAUUAAAAAUAAUUAAAAAUAAUUAAUGUUUAAUGGAAUAAGAAAUAUUUGGAAGUUAAUUGACGAGCCCAUAAAUGCUAUGGUGUUUAUAUAUAUGUAACGUUUCACAUAAACACAAAUUUUUUUAGAAAAAAUAUACAAUAAUACAUGUCCAAUAAUUUAGGUAUUUGUUCUUAGGUGUCUUAAAAAAUUAAAUUGUAUGCUCACGUGUAAAUAUGCAAAGUCGUGUGUACUCAAAGAUUUUUCGGGUUCUUUCUAUCCGCCCCUCCAUUUCCUACUCUCUAUUUUUUUUUCUUUUCGUCCAUCUAUUCACCACCACCCUCUUGCCCCUUCGCCGUUCUCGCUCACCUUCGACCCUUUCGGAAGUCCCUUCCUCGACCACCUCCGCCGCUGCUGCAGCAGCCGCCUCAGCCACUGCGUGACUCAACACAGCCAAGAUCACUUUGAAAGAGAGGGUUGGUGUAUCGCUGCAGAAGUGAAACAUUUGAGUGAAAUUUUCAAUAUAUUCAGUAAUUUUGUCUCAGUAAUUUCAGAGACCUCAUUGUGAAUUAAUUUUUUAAUCGGGUUACGAGUGAAUUUUUGAUUGUUGGUAACUAUUUUGUAUGUACAGCAGCAAGCGGUAUUAGGGGGAGAGUGAACUGCGUAUUCAAAAGUCAACAACUUUAAUAGUCAUGAAUUUAUUUCAUAGGUUUGUUUUACAACCUAACUUUUUUAUCUAUUUUGAAUAUUACUUAAUUAUUUUUUCAUCUUUAUCUAUAUUUUAUAUUGUGUUUGGCAAUUUUAUUCCGCUUUAGGAAUUCAAAGUAGUUUUCAGUUCAACUAUAUGAAUAUGCAUAGCAAAUAAACUAUUUAUGAUUAUCUAAUUUCGUAUUCUGGAUCAUUUUCAAAUAUGAAAGAAAAAGAGUAUAUAUGUGACCGGAUUAUAAUUACAGUAGACUAUAAUACAAAGAUUGUAGAUUUAUCUUAUUGAAUAUUUUUAUUGUUUCAGGAAUUGACUGCUUCCUGCCUGCCAACGAUUAAUUAUAUUGACGGGUUCUUUUUUAUUUUGAAUUUUAAUGCUUUGUUAUUUUCUCCUAUUUUUCACUAUAUAAUAUAUUUUAAACUAAUGUUAAUCUUUUAUUUAGGAAUCAUUGUCGGUAUGUUGGUUGGUCAUAAAUUGUUUGCCUCUGAUUUUUGUCAUUAUGACGUAAAUUGCAGCCAAAAAAAAUUUGCAGCUCGAUCUAUGCACUUUGUUAUUUUUUUCAUAGUAGUAAUUUUUUCAUCCAUAUUAUAGCAAUUUUCAGAAUCAUCCUACCUAAUAGAGAAAUCUGUAGAUUUAUUAAUUUCAUUUCUAUUAAAUGUUGAAUAGUCAAAAAAAAUAUAAAAACUACAAAUAUUAAUUUAUUACCUUACCUUUUGUUUCUGGUAUCGUGAAAGAGGAGAGAGAGAGAGAGAGAGAGAGCAUUUUGCCUAAUAAAAUUUUACAAUUAGGUCUAAUUGGAAACUCUAUAAAUUUAUAAUUUUUUAGUAUUUUUUGUUGUCUUAUAGAAAAUACUGUUAAUAUUAAUAUUUAUAAACGAAUAUAUAGAUUUUUUUUAGAAUAUUGAAAAACAAUGAUUAAUAAUUAAAUGAAUGUUUAUUUAAUGGAUAAAAACCUAUCGACGAUUUGUUCGACGUUGUUGUCAUGCUUCAUUAUAUUUUGCAUCUUAUAUAUUACAAAGUACAAUUUAUAAGAUAAAAUUUCAUUAAUGUCUAUAAUCAUGUUCCACGUGUGCAAGGCUAACUGUAACUUUUUUCUUGGAGACCUACCUAACUGAAAAACGAAAAAAUUAUAGUAGAAAAACUAACGUUAAAUAUUGAAUAUUAUCUACCCGCCGCAUCGCGCGGGUCACUACACUAGUUAGAAACGAAAGCCGGAUCAAGGCGCUCUAGGGUGGGAUUAAGGCUGGAAAGACCAACUGAACGCUAGCUCGCCCAUCGCGCGGGAGGUCAAUUAGACCAAUAUCAUUAGUAAUCAUUAAAAAUUUUCCAUGUUGGAAUCAUUUCAAUACUAGAAAAAUAGCAUAAAAAAUUACUAAUAUUUAAUUUUUUGUAGGUUCAAAUACUUUAGACCACGCUGAACAAUGGAAAUCAUUGAUUCAAAUAUUCCAUUUGAAAAAUAAUACGAAAAAAUAAAAUCGAUCUCAUUUAUUUCUAAAAGUGGUCUAGUUUUAUUACAAAACAUUUUUUUUUAUAUGAAUAUGUACACGGGAAACAACACGAUUCGGAAAUAACGACUCGAUAAGUUAAAACAAAAAAAAUAGGAUACAGACAUAGCAGAGACACAAAUAAAAUAUUAUAUUUAAUAUAAAUAAAUAUAAAUUUAUAUAAUAAAAAUUAUUAUAAUAUUUUGACAUUGGGUAAUAAAUAAAUUUCAAUUUUGUACCUCUCUUGGACUAGUGUGAUCAAUCUUUUUGAGAAAAAGUUUAUCACCUGUAUAAGUAAAUCUUUGAUGCUGCACAUUAAAAAAAUGAGAAAUGAUUCAGUACUUUAUUUGAGAAAAAAUAAAAAAUAUCUUAACCGUUGAUUAAUAGACGGUGAAGAUGUAAUUUUAAUAUUUUGAGGGUAAAAGGAUUAUUUCAUUCAAGAUUAUUUUUGUAAUUAAACAAUGCAACAUUUAAAGAAAGUUUUAAUUGAUAUCCUAAAUUUACGCAUUAAUUUGCACUAAUUUGGGUAAUUGAUUAAUUACCCAAAUUUAGGCAUUAAUAUAGGCCUUAAUUUACGCAUUUAUUUUAGAAAAAAAUUUAGUGUUUCUAAAAUUUAGGUAUUAAUUUAAAUUAUAGGAAUUUGAGAAAUAGUUCUAUUUCUAAAUACAUUGAAUGUAAAUAUUAAAUAUUAAAUAUUUAAAAUCAAAAACUUGAAAUUUAAUUUAGAGAAAUUUUGUAUUACUAUUAAAAAAUUUGUAAUGUUGGUAAAUAUUUUAAUUCAACAUAUUUAAAAUAUUUAAGAAAAUUUUAAAUUCCUAUAGUCUAGACAUUAAGAAAGGUAUCACUUAUUUUUUUAAAAAAUUGAAUUUAGGUAAAAAAAAUUAUAAAUUAAAUGUAUUUUAUAAUAUACCGAAACUUCGGUAGGUUGCACCGAACUUCAGUCAAAUUGGCCGAAGUGUGGUGUUGGACUAGAUGGCGAGGCGUUCCGAAUGUUUCGGAAUGGUUUGGAUAGGGUGUUGGGACCUUGGAGAGCAAGCUAGAAAAUGCCAAGCAAAAAUUGUGCUAGAAAUGCUCUCGAGUUCCGGACCAUGGCUGUAGGGUCCGAACCCCGUACGCGUGGAAACGUGGGUUGGUCCAAAAUGUUUUAUUGGUGAGGGCCCUAGUUGCAAUUGUCACCGGAGAGGCUUCUUAUAUGGGUAUGAUGCCCUAGUUCCCAUUCCCCUUACAUGAGAACACAAGAGUGGAGACUCUCUUUCUCUCUCUAGGAGCUUCUCACACACUCUCUCUCUUUCUUUCUCUCUUUCUCUCUCUAGGGUUUACUCCAAGGGUGGAGUUUGGAGAAGAAGAAGACUUGUUGGGAGUGAAACUUGACUAUUGUGCAAGGAAUUGAAGAGGAAGCUUGAACUAGAGGUGAGUUCAUGUGAAUAUGUGUUAGGGUUUGGCUAAAUCUCUUCUAGUUGUGGUUUCUAGAAGAUGAUAUGCUAGGCGAAACUAAGAAUCUCCAAGAAAAUUGGGUAAUUGUCAUGCCCCGAGCUUCGCCUAUUUGGUCGGAUUCGGGCCAUGUCAACAGACGCCGUAGGGACAGGGCCUUCCCUGCCCGCCCAAGGCUCUAGGAACAGGUAUAAUUAAGCAAUCAACCAAUGUAAUUUGCAAUUAUACAAGGCUUGCACGAGGGCAAGCAACAACAUGAAUGAAAGCGCUAAACUACUACAAGUAUCCACAUACAAAUAUUUGAUUAUCUUUUAACCAAAUACAAAUAAACUAGAACUAUUACAAUCAUUUUUCUUUCAUUUAUAAUUUCUUUACAUCAUAAUCAUCCAACCCAAAAUAUAUGAUUGUUUACAACUUUUACAAUACUUGAUCAACAAAAGUGAAAGUUGAUACAUGAACCAAAAGAGAAUGACUAUAAUGUAAAUACUCCGGUGGCCACUAACUAUGACGCAAGACCCUUGCCUCGAUCCUCCGUCACCUCGCUAGCUCGCGCUCGGAUCUGUAGGGUUAGUGGUGUGAGAACUACAACGAAAUUUCUAGUGGGUUCGGCCACCGACCUCGCUGACUUAACCACUAGGUCUAUUUAGGGAUAAGUAUUUCAAAGAAAAGGGAAUAGUAACCAUACUAAUGCUAAUACUAUGCCUGCAAGAAAUCUGUCAGUAAAAACAUAUGAUCAUGUACUGAAUGAAUGUGCAUGCAUGCUCUUUCUAUAAUUUACCUUGGCUUUUACCUAAUCUUACCGGUUAACCUUGUUAACCCCAAAAACUCACAACCCGAAAUUCCUAUUAACCGAGGAGCUCCAAGCACUUCCACUCGAGGCACUGUCUUCAGGGCCACUAUCCCCGUGGUGACUGUUCCGGAACGCACCGCUUGAAGGGGAGCUACCUCCCUCAAGCCAAGACUUAUCGUGAGUAUCGAUCCAAUCCUCAACUUGAGGAUAUAAAGCCGCUAGUGACAUUGCCACAACCAAUGAUAAGUUCCUACCUUAUCAUAUUUGCCACUUCUAGGUUAUCCUUAUCAUUAUGCCACUAAUGGUUAAACCUUAUUUAACUAUUCUUUUCUCGAUGCCAAUCUUGUCUCUAUUAUCAAUGUCACAUUUGUUUACUAUUAUCAUAGUCUCGGUCUCAUAUUCACACAAGUAUAAGGUCCAACAUACAUAUCCUCUAUGGUUCAUAUCAAUUACUAUGUUCAUCUAUAUUAGAAGCAUAUAAUAAAAGCCCAACCAACAUUCACAUGUAAUUUACCCUAUCAUGCAUGAAUGACUAUUGACAUAUAUGUUCAAUAAAAAGGUGAUAUAGAUAUAGAAGGGAAUCCAACGAUUUCGGAGUGCACCCCCCACCUUGAAUAGUAGUAGAGGAGUUGCGGUUCGAUUCUCGUGAUUUUAGGAUGCUUAUCCCGGGUGCUACGGCGAUCUGUACCAAAUUAGAGCCAAAUUAGGCUUUUUACUAAAUACCUCUACAUAGUCUUUUCAUUUCGCCGAACCGAGCGCACCAACGCGUCGGAAAUACCCCUAAUUAGGUUUCCACAAGGUCAAUUUACCUUGAAAAAAACCUAGGGCAAAAGCCCCAAAUUUGGUGCCCUAACAAUGCUAUAUAUAAAUUUUCUCUAGAUUGAUCUUAUAACUAAGCAAAUACUAGCUUAGAAGCAUCUAGGAAACUCUCUAAUACCAUUUCUAACCCAGUUGAACCAUUACUAGGGCAUCUAGAGUUAACCCUAGAAGAUCACCAUAAGAGCACAUAAAGCUUUCAUGGGUUUUCAUGGAGUUCAUGGCUUCAUCGACGUUUCUAAGCUUCCCAGAAAAUCAAAACUCUAAACUUUAGGGUAGAAGUCCAAACCCUAGAUGUGUUCUUGCAUAAAACUCACCUUAGCCCAAAGCACUCCCAAGGUCCACCUUGUAGGAGAGCUUCUUGACCUUCUAAUCCUCCAAAUCCACCUCCAAAUCCACCUCUUUUGCUCCUCUCUAGCCUUUGGAGAGACUUCCUAGAGAGAGAGAGGGAGAAAAAUGGAGUGGAGGGGUGUUUGCUGUGUAAACAGGUGUGGAGGGCUGUGUUGGGUUAUUUAUAGGUUGCAACAAUAGCAACAAAACCCCCCAAAAGUCCACAUUUGCAGUCCACUCAUUUUUUACUGCUAGACCAAAGUGUACCGGUACAUGGGUUGCUGUCACCGGUAACACGAUCGCACAGAGGCAAACCCGAGAGCAGUUGUUCAGAUUUUUACAAAGUAUACCGUCACCGGUAACACGAUCGCGCAGAGAGCAAACCCGAGAGCAGCUUCCUCUCGGUUGUCGCAUGUGUACCGAUACAACAUUGAUGUUGUACCUGUACAAAAUGCCCGGAUUUCAUGUUUUUGCAUCUUUUCGAUCCAAUUUCGCUGCGAUCAAUGCAAAAACCUUCCUAACUCUUUUAAACUCACUUUUAAUCCUUCCAACCUUGUUGGAAUGCCAAUUGGAACUUGUCCAACUAUUUCUCUUGAAUGCUUUAGCCAAUUUGGCUAAAGUCCAAUAUUCACUAUCGAGUUUUCGAUAUAUUACAGUAAUUGUGGAUUAUGGAAACCCUAGGGUCAAAAAAAUAGGGUUUUGUUAAGUUUGAGAUCUAAUUUGGGUUUGAUCGCUUGUAGCCCUAAUUGGAGUAUAAACCGACAUGUUGGGAGACUCGGAUUGGAAUUCCGGUAGGUCUACAUCGAGAUAUUAAGGAAAAAUCUCGUUUCGACUUCGUUUGCCGUGGGUCGGGGGAAAGCGACAAUCAUAAAUCGGGAAAUUCAGAUUCUAGCACCCUAGCAUCCCUACGAGGUGGGUGGUGCUAUCCGAAACAAUUGGAUUUCUCUUUAUGUCCAAGUCACCAUUUGAGCAUGUGUGUAUAUGUAGGAUUCAUACAUGUAGGGUUAAAUGGUAAUAUGUUGAUACUUCUUGCAUAAUUUUAGUAUAAAGAUGCAUAUGAGUUGGUAAUGGAACAUUGGACACUUAUGAAUUCUAUAGAUGUAUGAAUUGAGACAUGAACCUAGCCAAGGUAGAAAACAUGGUGACAUGGUGACAUUGUGACAAAUGAUUGAAAUAAUACCUUGUGACAUUGAAUACUAGUAAAUGGAACACUUUAUGUGUUGUGACAUUAGUGGACAUGGCAUCCUCAUGGUUGUGGAUUGGAUCAUACUCACCUAUAGUCUUAUGUUUGAGGGCGGUCGCUCUCCCUUGAGCGAUGAGCUCCGGAGUAGUCAUCACUGGGUCGUAGCGAGUAUCUCCCCAGAAGACGGUCCCGUUGGGUUGUAGCGAGUAUUUCCCCGAAAGUAGGGAUUUGGUUGGUGAGUUUUGGGGCUAAAUCUACGAGUUAGCCAAAAGGAUUGGGUAUCGAUAAUAGCAAUUGGCAUGCAUCAUGAGCAUCAUAUAUAUGUGGGUUUAUUAUUCUUGUUCAGGCAUAGUAACUGUAUUGGAUUAGAAAUGGCUAUCUAUCUAUCUGUUCUCUUUACUUAUGCCUGGUUAGAUAUAGUGGGAAAGUCGGCGGGUUCGGUGGCCAAACCCACUGAAAACUUCUUGUAGUUCUCACCACACCAUUUUACAGAUCCGGGCCUGAGCGAGACGGUGAAGGAUCGCGGCAAAGGCACAGCGCCCUAGGUAGCGGACACCCGUGCAUUAGUGGCACUCAUGUUUCAUCUUUUGGUUUAUGAUGAAAAGUGUAGUAUAAUGGAAAUGUAUAAAUGAUGUAAAUGGCACAUGUUUUGAGGAUAUGUGAUGUACUUGGAAAGAAAAAGGAUGUAAAUUACAGUAUGCUUGUAUUUGGUUAAAUGUAAUCAAUAUACAUGUGUGGAUGUGAAAAUAGUAGUAGUUCUUUCACUUGUUGGUUGUUGCUUACCCUCGUGCAAGCCAUGUAUAUCUAUAUUUUCGUUUGCGCAAAUUGUUAUACAUGUUGAUAUUUGUGUGGAGCCUUAGGCGGACAGGGGAGGUGCUGUCCGUUUGACGUCUGAAGGCGUAUCCGAACCGACCAAAUUGGCUGUCGCGGGGCGUGACAUAUUUAAUAUGUUAAAAAAAAAAUAGAAUUGUUCUACUUUAGACAUUAAUUUUGUAUCACUAAUUAAAAAAAAUUAUAAUGUUGGUAAAUAUUUAAAUUUAAUAUAUUCAAUAUGUUUAACAAAAUUAUGAAUUCGUCUUAGAUAUUAAUUUUAUAUUACUAAUUUGAAAAAAUUGAAUGCGGGCAAAUAUUUAAAUUAAACAUGUUUAAUAUGUUUAAAAAAAUUUAAAAUUUUUUCUAAUUUAUAUAUUAAUUCUUUAUUACUAUUUAAAAAUUUAAUGUGGAUAAUUGAUUAGAAAUAUAGGGUAUAAUUCAAAUUUAUUCAUAGAAUAAAAUUGUAUUGACAAAAUUAAUUAAAAUUUUAAUAGUAAGAUUGAUCUAUUAAAAUAAUAAGAUCAUGUAUUGUAAUUCAAAAUAUAAGUUGAAAAUAAAAUAAAUUUGAAUUUUAGAAGCUAAAAAGUAUAUAGAAACCUUUAAUAAAUCUAAAUAGUUUAGUUCAAUUUAAACUUACCAAUAAAUAAAUUUAGACUGUAUAAUUUAAAUUUUAAGUUUAUAAUAAAUUUUCACCAUAGAGUUUUACUAGAGUAAACAAAAUUAGAAAUAUAGAUAAAUUAAAUAAAUUUAUAUUGAAUAGAUCUAAGCUAUGUGUAUAUUUUAUCAAUUUGAGCAGUCUAAUUAAUUUGAUUUAUUAAAUUGAUUUUGACUUUUACCUUAAAAUUUUUUAGUUUUUAGUCGAUUUUUUAAAUUUUAGUUCCUUACCUUUUGGUUUAUAAUCAGCUUCUUAACUUUUAUUAUUCAUUUUAAUUAAAUUAGUAUCCUUGACUUAAAAACUAGAUUGAACCGAUUGAUUCAAUUGAUCAGACACCUAAUCUAUAAAGCAUCUGAGUUCAACCUAUUGAACUGAAUAAGUCUAAGACAAUCUAGAACCGUUAAAGAUAAUAAACAUUUUAAACAGAAUGACAUUUUAAUCAUUAGAGUUAAUAAAUAUUUUAAACAUAAUUUUAAAAAUAAAAAUUAAAAAGAUUAAGAUUACUGGUUAGAAAAAAAAUAUGGUUAGGAAUUUGAAUUCGAACCCGACUAACAAUCGCAAAACUAUUUCCAAACACGACGGAUUUCAAAAUUCAAUAUCCAAACCCGAAACUGACCAAUUUCCUGAAACCCAAAACAAAAGCCAAACCCGAAGACCGAAACCCAAAACAAUUAUUUUUCUUUACCAUAUUUCAAUAUAUUUUAUAUUAAAUUUAAAAUUUUAAAAUAUAAAUUCGAAUAUAAUAUUAAACUUUAUAUAGGAUUUGGGUCGGAUUCAAGGUGGGUAUAGAUAAAAUCUAUAGUUGGUCCACAAAAUAAAUUUUAAUACAUAGUAGUUUCUUAAAAUUAAACUCAUUUGCAAUAUUAAACAAUUAAACAAAGAGAAAAAAAAAAAUUAUCUUUUAGGAUGAUGUUGUCAAAUAAUUUGAAACUUUCCUUACAUGAAAUAUCGAAAUAAAAGAGGAAAGAUAGAGAGAAAAAGAAAACAAGGAGAGAAUAAAAAUUUUGCUAAUAUAGUAGAGAUAAAAUUACAAAAUUAUCUAUGUAUUAAAAGACAAAAAUACCCUUUUUUGAGGUAUCUGGUAACCAGCAUCUCUUCCAAUGUAACCUGCUAUUACGGGUUACAAUAUAAAAAAAAUUAAAUCUGAGUUAUUGAAUAGGAGUGAAUGAAUGGUAGCGAGUAUAGAAGCACAACUACUCUAAAAAGUUUGUAAGAACCUAAUUUAUUAAAUGUAUUUUAUAAUAUUAAAAGUUAUACAUAAAAAUUUUAAAUUUUACACAUUAACUUUUUACAAAUUAGAAGACCGCAAGUCCCGCGUCCAACACCGGUCGGACACCGACGCGGCUCCCGUGCAACAUUCAAAAGGGUGGGCUGCGUGGCCUCUCUGCCUUCUUCUUAAUUUUUGGCGGUUGGCCAGGGGUAGCUCGCAAAUCAACCUGUUGGUUUAGUUUUCUAUCCAACGGACUGGGACGUACAAAGUUGACCUUCUCCAUAUAAUACCAUUCCUAAUUGCAGAUGCUAUAUUUAUAUUAAUGGAGUUAGAUGUAUAUACUUUGAACAAAUCAAAUAAUAAUAUUUAUCUUCAGGGAACUGGAAUGGACCUUCACCUACCGCUUGGGAUAGACUCGUCAUUUAGUUCAAAAACACGCAUGUAUGCACAUCUCACAAAUCGACACUAUCAAUCAUUCAUCCUCCUUAAUUAAGUAGUAUGAACUAUUUUUCAGGCAAUUGAUAUUUAAAAAUCACUCUAAUUUCCUUAUUUAUACAUAUAGCAAAAUCAUCCGAAUGAAAAAUCUGUAGAAAAUUGAAUCAUAAGUAAUAUGUAUAUAUACCCAUAAAAGAAUUAUUAUAUAUGUAUAUAUAUCCUGAAUUUUUUUUCUUCGAAAGAAAAAAAAUCAGGGAAUGUGGUAUUGCUUAGAAGACUUGAGCCCCUUUGUGAAAUUGAAGUAGGUCAACGCGUCCGUCCAUCUGGCGUUGUCUAUGAGAUGGUGCACGGCGAUGGUCUCCGGCACGAAGUCGUGGCGGAAGCAUGUGGCCGGCGACGUGCCUCGGUAGUCGUACAUGGCCGGGGCGUUGUCGAACCUGUUGCUGGCCCGGCCCGCCAUGUUCAGCCACCUCCCCGUCCACAUAUCCUCUGGCCCGGUGGUAUCCUCCCGCGCCGUCUCGGAUGUGGCGAUCCACUCCACCAGGUCCCACGACAAGAUGUACCCCAUCCCCGACAUGAACGGCGGGAAGGGGAAGAAGUUCUCCUUGUCGCAUGGCAUCUGGAGCCCGUAGUACACAUCGCUCCUAGGUUUGUCCCUCAACGAUUCAAUCAGGCUGGGCAGCCGGAAGAACGCAUCGUCGUCCGUUUUCAUGACGUAGUCGUACUUGGCGUCGCCGUCGAAUAGCGUCGGGAGGCUGGAGAAGUAAUUGUAGGUCUUGCCGUUGUCCAUGUUCUCGGUGCAGUUGAGAAUGAUGAUAUCGUCAUAGCACAUGAUUUCGAGGGCGACAAAGACCGCCUGCUCCUCGGUCGAGAGGUUGCAGAAGACGAAGCGGACGUCGACAUGGGCGGCGAAGUUGUUGUCGGACUGCUGAAGGCUGUAGACCAUGCGGAGGAGGUGCCGGCGCUCAUAGUACUCCGGGCGGGUUAUGAUGCCGACGAGGAGCCGAAAUUCAGGCUGUACGGGGGCAGCGGAGAUGCCGCCGGCCGAAGAUGAUGAGCUGCCGCAGGAGGUGAAGGUCAACGGGAGGCCGAAAUCGCGAGGGUAGAAGACGACGGUUGCUAGGGCAAACAAAGCUAGAGGAAGGGCGAGGAGAGCGAUGCAAGAGGGAGAUUGUUUCCAGGCGAACAUUUUCGGUUUUUCUCUCACGUUAACGAUUGUUGGGUGAAGCUGGAGAAACUGUCCGAUUCCCCGUGUACAUGUAUAUAUUUGAGAUGGGACUAAUUGGAACAUGUCAAUAAUUAAAACAUAUAAUAUUGUUUUCUUCGUUCAUAAUUAAUAAUAAUGAACUUGGUCUAAUAGAUUAGCUGGGCAAGUGACUACGACGUGCAUGGCAGCCAUUGAUGAGGGACCUAUUAAGAAAUUGAGGUCGGUUGUGAGUGUUCUUGGAAAUUUAAAUUUAUAAAAUUUUUAUUAGAAGCAUGCUUAUAUAUGCGUGUAAUACCCGAAGUUAAUUUGGACGAUAAACAGAAAAUGGUGGAGAAAACUGAAUCUCGGCAUUGCCGUGUGGAAUUCCGAAAUUUGGAAAGAAUUUCGGAUUCUAAAGCGUUCCAGCGAAAGACAUGUACAAUUCUUAUAGAUUAGGAAAUCACGGUAUGGUAUAUUUGCUAAUUGUUAGUAAAUAAUAUGAGAACUUAUAUUUAAAUGUUACACAUGAAUCGAGUUAGGAAAAGGAUUCGGUUAAUAUUAAUAUAACCAACUUGUGGGUUAAUGGAUAAUCCAAUCUUAUUAGGAUUUCGAUUAGUAUUAGGCUUAAGAUUUUCUCAUUAUAAAUAUAUAUCAUAUGACAUAUUAAAAAAUAUAAUACAAGAGAAAUAAAAAGCCCUAAUCGUCAAUCCUCUCCUCCACAAUUAAUCCAUCAGUUUCAAUAUUCAAAAAGUUGCUAGUAAAUCUAGAAAAUUCAUUCAUCUACCUCAAAUCGAUACAAGAGUUAAUAAGAGUUAAUUCGUGAUUGGAUCACGGAUCGAAGCAGUCGUUUAAUUCGAUCAAGGGCGUGAUUUUGUGUGGACGCGAGUAGAAGCCGGGCGCAUGCGCGGCUAAGCGAGGACAAAUAAUUUUUACCUACAAUUGCCGACUUUCAGCGAUCUCGACCCAUGCUAGGUGAAAAACUAGAUCCUAUUUGAUUAGAUCGAUCAAUUAGAUCAAGUAUUAAUGAUUUAAAGCAAAACACGAGAUGAUCUUAGGUUUUAAAAUUUUUAUUUGUGUUAUUUUCUUUCACUGCGGACACAUGAUUUUCUUACAGUAUUAAUAGUGCAACCUACUCUUAGAUCGGAACUAAGAAGAUGCUCGUAGUUAAACUCAUUGAGCACUUAUCCUAUGCCUUCGGAUGGCAUUAAAAGGUAUGAAAACUUGAAGUUGCUAGAAUGAAGAAGAUACUGGAGAGUUGUGGCACAAUGCUUGAUGUCACAAAAAGUGAAGAUCGAGCAUCGACUUCCAAAUAGCAAAUUGGGAAGGCUGUCUUUUCCCAUUUGGAGAUGGGAGGAAUUACCAUGAAAUUUGGUAUUGGAUUGUCUCACUCUCAAGCUAGACAUGAUGUUAUUUGGGUAAUUAUGAAUAGGUUAGCUAAGUCAGCGCAUUUCACUUUUAUUCACACUAUUUGAUCAAGGGAAAGACUCGCAUAAGUAUAUCUUGGCGAAAUUGUGCCACUUUAUGGAGUGUUUAACUCUAUUGUUUUGAAGAAGCCUCCACGGAACACUUGCUACACGAUUGGAUUUUCGCACUGCCUUUCACCCGUAAAGUGACGGCCACUUAAAGCGCACCAUUUGAAUUUUUGGAAGAUGUGCUUCAAAUAUGCAUCUUGGAUUUCUAAGGUGGAGGACACCAUUUGAAGCCUCCUUGGAAAAGAAAUGUAGAUCACCCCUACAUAGGAGUGAUGUGGAUAAAAAGCUAAUUCUAGAUCCCAACAUACUUGGAAAAGUGAGAAGCUAGGUUUGACCUGCUCGUGAAUGAUUGAUUUCAACACGAAAUUGACAGAAGAGUUAUGUGGAUAAACGUCGAUGAGAAAUGAAACUUCAAGCAUAAGACCAAGCCUUCUUCAAUGCAACACCCGACAAACAGAAUCAAGAAGUUUGGUGUACGAGGAAUAUAAGUGUAGUGUCACACUCCGAGACCCGCCACUUUUGUCGGAUUCGGGGGCGCCAACAGACCGCCGAACGGACAGAAUUUUUCCUGUCCGCCCACGACAUCACAAUCAAUACAAUUGAAGAUGUUCCAAUUAGGAAUAGAAUUUAUACACAGAUUGCAUAGGGAAGGCAUCAUAUCUUAGAUGUAUGCCCUAAAAGUGAACCAAGCCGACACAUGUAUUCUUUUUAGGACAAAUUUGUAUUUGAUUUUAAAAUAUUAUGAAUAAAUUUGGAUUGUUAUUUUCAUUCAUGUUGUAUAUGUGUCCAUAAAUUGUCCAAAAAAUUAAUAAGAUGAUAUAUAUUUUCAAAAGUUGAGAAUUUGAGACAUGUGUCAUUGAUGGUUAAUUCCUAAAUGCUCCCGAUCGAUGGAUCAUCACGGGGAUGGUGAUUGAUCUGGUGAGAUUGGUAUAUAGGUCGCUUUCCUUUUUAGGUAGACAAGUCUCGAGUCUCGAGUAAAUUACAUGGUGAUUGAUCUGGUGAGAUUGGUAUACUAGAGGUUGUUAGAAAACAAGGGUACCGAGCGUGACCAACGUGAGAAGUCACUUGGAUGUCUAUUUACUCGUCAGUUACUUACUCAAUAUUGCAGUAGUGUGACUGGCCCUUUGACCUGCGGAGCCUCGGCUAUUCAUAAUGAGGUUACUAUAGUUUGACUAUAUAUACACUUGGUCCCUAGCCAUUCGGUUCCUUGCGGUGCAUGUUGGCUGCAGUAGGUUUAUUGUAGGAAUAGAGUGUGCACUUAUAUGGAAUCUAUCUCCCUUGGUAGAUAGGGGCGUUAGUCCUAUGUGAUUUAUGAGACCGAGUUUAGAAGACCUUGGCCAGGCAAGAGUUAAUAGCGGAAAGGGGUUUCGUUAUUAGAAACUCGAGUCGAUUACCUUGACGAGUUAUUCCAUUACUUCUGUUUAGUCGGGACUCAUGAUAAAAGAAUUGUAUCACACGGUAACUGCACCAAGAGGUUCAGUAUUCUAUUUUACUUGAAUGCCACUACAUGCUGCUAGGUGUCACUGGUAGAUUGUGAUACUCAUGAGAAUUAUCUAGAUGAUCGAUAAUUCUCAUUGGGCUCAGUUGGAAUAGUUCUGAUCCACUGAAAGGAGUUUUAGUGAUAUUGUUGAUAGUGAUCAAAAUAUAUCUCAUUACUAGAUGGAAUAAAACUUAUGGGGUCACACACAUAAGAGGUUGUAACUGAUCGGAUAGCCAGAUCAUGAUUUUUGAAUCGUUGGAGGACCUAAUUGUCAAUAUGUUGAUAAUUGGACUAAUUUGUAGUUGUUACAAAUUAGUGGUAUUAAAGUAUAAAUGUUAUAAGAGAGGAUUACUAAUAGUUAGUAAAUUAUGAGAGGACUUAUAUGCAAAUGUUGUAUUAUUAAUUUGAUAUGAUCAAACUAAGAUAAAGUUCAAGUUGAAUCAAAUUACGAUUUGAUCGAUCUAACUAGUUAAGGAAAUGAUAAAUUUAAAUCUAGAUUUGUACUUAUCUUUAAUGGUCACUAUAUUAUUAACAAGAGGAUUAUAUGCCUCUAUAUAAUAUAUGAGAGUUUUUAGAAAACUCUAGCCUUCAUCUCUUUUCUCCUCUCUCUUCCAUCUUCUAGCAAGUAGGACGUCCUUUGCAAGGGAGAUAGCACUCCGGUAGACGCGUGUGCGGUUUCAAGAGAAUUUAAUUUCAUGAUCAUCAAAUUGAGGUGAAGAUCUUCCCACGCAAAAGUAAAGAUUGGAUCUUGCUUUUCUCCUUUAAUCUUAAAGAACAUAGGGAUUCUAAUUGCGUGGUUUUGAGAUCAGAUCUCAAGAAUUUUCAAAAUCAAAUUUGUUUGAUUUUAUUUCUGCAGCUUUUUUACCGUAUGCAAUUUUCUAACACUGGUAUCAGAGCCAUCAUCAUGUUUUUCAAUAUUAAAAUUAUAAAUUUGGGUAUUUUAAACCGUUCUUCGUCAGUUGAACCAUUUAUAGAUCGUUUUUGGCUAAUUCAAAAAAUUGUAAAGUGAUCAUAUUGUUUAAUCUGCAGUUUCUAGUAAUAUAUAUAUAUAUAUNUGGAUCUAAGAAGUGGAUUUGGACUUGAGCCACACAGUCGGAAUCAGAUUCUUAGGGUCAUAAAUUACAAGCACACACACGUCAUUGGUUUGAUCGUCUUCAACUAUUUGAUCCGACCCGGAGCUACAAUUUGAUCCGAUCCUAUCAACAUCUUGAUCCGACCGCCAUCAACUGCUCAUCUUGAUCAAGUCUUUGCGUACUUCUCGGCUAGCAAGUGAUCAACCAAUGAUGUGCAACCAUACAAUAUAUAACCCAACAAUAAAGAUAAAGUAAAAAUUAAUUACAUUUGAUAACUUUUAUCUCUAACCUAUUGAGACACGCAGGUCUCCAUAUAAAUCUGUUUGUGCACGUAGGCACCCAAAAUAACCAUCCCUAAUACAGAGUCCUUAAUUUAAACAAAUUUAAAAUUACAGGAUUCUGCAUACACAUUAUACAUCACAUAUCAAAAAAAAAUAAAUAGGUCUAUAUCCAUGAUCAUCACCGAUAUGUAUCUCAUAUAUCAUAUCCAUAAUAAUUAAUUUUGGGUAUUCUAAUUAACCGUUAACCAAUGAUUUGAAAAAUAAUAGUGAUUAACUCACUAAAAUCAAUCAAUCUUAUUGAUCGUUUAUAAUCUUGAUCAAAAACUUAAUCUUCAAACAUAAUAACUUGAUCUCAUCAAGAUAUAAAUUUGAUCUAAUCAAAUUAGAUCCCAUUUUUUAUUUUUAUUUUAAAUCGAUCGAAUCAAAUUAAAAAAUAAAAAAAAAUUUGCACAUCUGUACAGCUGCUAUAAUAGCGCUCAUACAGACUAGUAGCGUCCGUACGGAUGCUAUAUAUAUAUAUAUAUAUAUAUAUAUAUAUAUAUGAGUCCGGCUACUAUACUUUUAUGAGUAUAGAGCCUCUUGUACUCAUAAGUUUUUGCCCGUUAGAUCUACCCUUUAAUCAUUUUCACCCGUUAGAUUAUACUAUUCAACCAACCACCCACUCAACCCUAGGGGGCCCACUAUCAACCUAACCGUAACCACUUUCAUCAUAACCGCAUAUUUUUUCAUCUAAACGGCUAAAAACUUAUGAGUACAAAGGGCUGUAUACUCAUAUAAGUAUAGUAGCCCCAGCCUAUAUAUAUAUAUAUAUAUAUAUAUUGCUGUAGCAUCCGUACGGACGCUACUAGUCUGUAUGAGCGCUAUUAUAGCAGCUGUACAGAUGUGCAAAUUUUUUUUUAUUUUUUAAUUUGAUUCGAUCGAUUUAAAAUAAAAAUAAAAAAUGGGAUCUAAUUUGAUUAGAUCAAAUUUAUAUCUUGAUGAGAUCAAGUUAUUAUGUUUGAAGAUUAAGUUUUUGAUCAAGAUUAUAAACGAUCAAUAAGAUUGAUUGAUUUUAGUGAGUUAAUCACUAUUAUUUUUCAAAUCAUUGGUUAACGGUUAAUUAGAAUACCCAAAAUUAAUUAUUAUGGAUAUGAUAUAUGAGAUACAUAUCGGUGAUGAUCAUGGAUAUAGACCUAUUUAUUUUUUUUUGAUAUGUGAUGUAUAAUGUGUAUGCAGAAUCCUGUAAUUUUAAAUUUGUUUAAAUUAAGGACUCUGUAUUAGGGAUGGUUAUUUUGGGUGCCUACGUGCACAAACAGAUUUAUAUGGAGACCUGCGUGUCUCAAUAGGUUAGAGAUAAAAGUUAUCAAAUGUAAUUAAUUUUUACUUUAUCUUUAUUGUUGGGUUAUAUAUUGUAUGGUUGCACAUCAUUGGUUGAUCACUUGCUAGCCGAGAAGUACGCAAAGACUUGAUCAAGAUGAGCAGUUGAUGGCGGUCGGAUCAAGAUGUUGAUAGGAUCGGAUCAAAUUGUAGCUCCGGGUCGGAUCAAAUAGUUGAAGACGAUCAAACCAAUGACGUGUGUGUGCUUGUAAUUUAUGACCCUAAGAAUCUGAUUCCGACUGUGUGGCUCAAGUCCAAAUCCACUUCUUAGAUCCAUGAUCAUCACCAGUUAUAUUAUACUUUCAUGUGCGGAUUGUUUUUAUUUGCAUUAGAUGUAAAUAAAUAAAAUAAAAUUUGAGACCUAAAUUUUAAUCUCCUCACAAAUAUUAAGUCGAGCGGUUUUCGGUGUUGUAAAAGUGCAGGCGUUUUUCUGGUGUUGAUUGGCACGGCUUGUUAUAGUGGUCAAUUGCUUCGGGAAGGUGCAGUCACUUUAUUAGCAUGAGAUGCUGCGGAGUAAAGAUGGGGUUGGGCCCAAUAAUUGUUAGGUGCGGGACCCAAUGACGGCUUUGCUUACGCGUUUGAAUGGCGGGUCUGACUUAACUAAGGAAUGGGGCCAAUAACUGUUAGGUGAGGCCUAUAGGACCUAGAGAUCGAUCAUUGCAAUUUGUUUGAGAAGCAUUGGACAAGAAUUGUCCACUUAUCGGUUUGCAUAUCACCAAUAACUGUUAAGUAAGGUGGUACGUUAUACUAGUGGGACUGCAGUAUCUAUUUGAAACCUUUUAUCGCGUUGGGUUUUCGUUUCUCUACCCGAGGAGUGUAAGAGACUCGAGAAAAUAGUGGGAGGCUAAAAUUUAUUUUUAAAAUUCCUAAAACAAAAUUUUCAAAACAAAUAUAAAUAUCUAAUUUGAAUCUUUACUCUCUGCAAAGCAAAUAUCUGCUUCCAAUCGUUUCUCUCAUAUUCUCGACACAAAACCAUUAACUGGAACUAAUUAUAAAGAUUGACUAAGGAACUUAAAAAUAGUUUUCAGUUUCGAAAAGCUCAGUUAUAUUCUCGAUCAAGACCCCCUCAUGUUGCCAAAUCAUCCAAUAACUAACCGAAAAGCAGUCUGUUCAUGAUCAUUGUUUGACAAUGAUCAAAGACCUCAAGGAGCUUUAUAAGCUCGGCAUCAAAAUAGAUAAGGAAUACAAAGUUGAUCUGAUCCUGCAAUUCCUUCCUGUAUCAUAUGGAUAGUUUAUUGUAAACUACCAUAUGAAUAAAAUUAACUGCACCAAUGCGGAGUUAUUGAACAUGUUGGUAACAACAGAGAGGACUUUGAAAAGUUCAAAGGGCUCGAUUCUUAUAGUGGAGCAGGCUUCCUCUUCCAAAAUAACGUCUAAUUGGAAGAAAAAAUUCAUGAAGAAACAAAAGACGAAAAACAAGCCUAAGAGGGAAGCUCCUAAGAAAAAGGCCAUUGACAAAGAAAAAUAUUUACAUUGCAAUGUUGACGGUUAUUGGAAGAAGAAUUGUCCUGUCUACCUGGAGAGUCUAAAGAAUUAGAGGAAUGACACACCUUCGGAAGGUAUGUCAGAUUUGCUCAUAAUAGAAACUAACCUUACGGUUUCCUCUACUUCUAGUUGAGUUAUAAAUUCUAAUUUUAGUACUUUUUGUACUUCAAUGUAGAAUCUAAAGAAAAGUAGAGGGCUUAGGAAAGGUGAAGUGACCCUCCGGGUAGACAACGGGGUAAGAGUUGUUGCUGUGGCUGCUGGCACCUAUCCUUUGCGAUUACCGUCAGGACAUAUUUUAUCAAAGACUGUUAUUACAUAUGUCUUGCACUACAACAAAAUUAGAUUAUAGGAAUACAUUUUUAGGGCACUUUGGUGCAAAUUCCCUAUCUGUAUCCAUUUUUUUUUUUUCAAAAGAAUCUACUUAGGUCCAAAUAUAAAGUCUAACCCAAAAAAUAAUAAAAAAUAUUACACUUAUUCAACCCACUGUACCCAACCCACCAGGCCCAAUUACAAAAAAAAUAGAAAAUAGAAGAAAAGAAAAAAGCUUCUCUCUCCCUUUUCCCAUCACUCAACUCCUCAAAACCCUAGACGAAGAGUCCCUCCGAUCACCAUCUCCAUGAGCCCCUCCCACCUCUCCCUCCGCGACCCUCUCUAACUCUGCGAGACAAUGGGUAACGAUCGAUGUCGAAUGCCCUCUCUUCUCUCUGAAUUCGCUUCUCGAACCAUCUUCAUGCCCGAUCUCGCCGAUUUAGGGUUUGAUUCGAUGAAGAGAAUGCACAAUGGAUCUUUUGAUCCCUUCGAUGGAGUAGAGACCUAGAAAUCAGUUCCUCUUUCGGAAGUUUUGUUGUUCCUAUUUUGUUAUAGUUGGUUGUCUUCUCGAUUAAUCAUUCCACUAGUGCGAUGCUUAGGGGUAAAACGUAGAAUAGGUACUUUUUUUUUGGUGAUAAAUCUCAUAUGCAACUACAUGAACAGUGGAUAUUAAGUGUGUUUGAAAUCCUAAAUUCGUACUUUUAGUAUUAUGUUGGUAGAAUUCAUACAUGGGUAAAUGACAAGUGGAGAUUAAUGUUUAUCUUAUUUUUCUUAUUCCUGUGUUUUUCUUUUAAAAAAAUGAGUAUAAUUUAUCUCCUAUGCUCGGUUUAUACUAGAUUCUUCAUACCUUUUACUCGUGCCAAUUUCCACUUCCUAGGAAUGUAAGUAGGCUUACUCUAUCAGAUGAACUCUUUAUAAAAAGAGUUCGCAUUUAAUUUUUUGAAAAAAAUAUUCAUAUUUGCGAUAAUCAUACAUAUGUACAUGUAUUUUGAAAUAAUUUUCUAACUUGCUCAGAAUUCACUAAAAUGGAGGGCUUCCAUUUUUGCUGCAGAGAUGAGUUGUUUAGGUGAUUUCAGUAUAGUACUUCUCAUAACACUAAUCAAUCUACAAUUUAUUGAGCCACACUAUUCCCUAUAUAAGGUCUUUUUUAAGUUUUCGAUCAGAUUGCUGUGGAAUUUUAGUUCUUUGCUAUGUGAUCAUGUAUAAUGCUUUUAAAACUAAACUAGUCAUUUGGCCCUAGCCUUCAAAUAACAGUACUCAUCACUUCCUUCUAUUGGAGAAAUAUAAUGUCUAUACACAUCGGGGUUGAAUCUUCACUAUCUGCUGAUUUGGCUGUAAUGGAAAUCUGAACUUUUCAAUAUAAACCCAUUUGAAAUUUGUCACAAGGGUGUGCAGUAGGUUUCUUCUUGCAUAGCUUUGGAUUCCUAUUCUGCGAACGUCAAAUUUUUCAUGUAUAGAAGAGGGUUGAUUUUAGUUGUUCAUCAUACAGAAUAUUUUACUCUUCUUUUAACUGUUAUCUUUAGUGGAUUUCAUAUGUAACAUUUUGAUUUUCUAUUAAUAGUCAUGUUUUGUGCCUUGUUGUGAUAAUAGUGGCUAAUUGAGCCACUACUCUGCUCUUUCAGAUUUAAUGACUUAAUUUUUUCUGUAUUAGCAUUUUACUUCAGUGGGUUGUAGCUUUAGUGGAAGUGAGGCCAAAUUUUCUCUUAGGAGAAAUUGAGAAGCUCCUUCUUGAGGAUAUAUAUCAGGUAAAAUUUUUUUAGGCAUAUGUUUAUUACACUAAUUAUAGCGUAGCCACUCUUUUUCUUUUUUUUCUUUUUUUUUUUUUAAUUCCGUCACUCUAUUUCUCCUUUUGGACUCUUUUUUAUCUGGUGGCAUUCCUAGCACACUUCUAACUAUUAAAUUUGUGCGUCAUUUAGAUUGAGUAGCUUGUCUAUGACACUAAAGGAUAAUUGUCAUCUUGUUCCGUGGAUUGUUGAUCACUUGCUACCUUUCUAUAUUGAGUUAUUAUUAAUUGUACAAUUGUUUAAAGUAUAAUGAUAUCAGUGGCUUUAUAUGUUGGUUUAUCCUACAUCAUAGACAUAUAAUUGUUCUAGUUUAGAUAAAUUAAAAUACAUCAGAGAGGUGAUUAUUUGGAAUUGCUUUUUUUUUCUGGUCCAGUAAUACCUUCCUUUUAACUGUGAAGUUUUGCAACUUUUUUCCUUUCUUUUUUUUUUCCCUUUCUAUUGGCAGGGAGAAAGGUGCACUCUAUUUAAGAGAUUUGCAAGAGAUUUGGGAGAAAAUCUAGUUUUUGGAAAACUAGGGUUUGUUUUGGGGUUUUUCAAUUUUGAGCUUUUGGGAUGAAAUUGAUGAGUGUAGAACACUCUUAUAGGUUUGGAUUUGAAGCUUUUUAGUGUCAAUUUGGACUUUGGACAAGUUCUACUUGAUCAAAGGUAAUAUUCACCUAUUUUGUGCUUGAUUUUUGAUGAAUUUCGUGGUUAGCUUUUUAGAAGCUUGUAGAAGACUUGUGGACAACUUCAUUUGGUGAAACGAACAAGUUCAGAUGUGAUUCGGUGGGUUUGAUCUCACCAAAAUGGGUGAACUCCCUCUAUGUCUCUAUCACGCCCCGGGGUCCCUUUUUAGUUUCAAAACACAGCGGAAGGGUCUAAAUUUUUGUUGUUGCUGGCACUGGUUGUGCCUCGUUGAUUGCGUACUUAUAGAAUUUAAAAUCCUGGGUAAAUUCUUGUACGCAAUCUAUAUUGAGCCUUGGGCGGACAGGGGAGGUCCUGUCCGUUCGGUGUCCGUCCGGCGCGCCCGAACCAUACCAAAUUGGUAGGGGUUUCGGGGCCGGGGCGUGACAUAGAUAGCUUUCAACUUAACUACUGUAAAUCAAAACUUGUAAGCCCAAAGCCUUUCAUGUAUGUAAUUAUAUUAAUCUAGAGUUGCAAUUUUAUGUAAAGUGAUUUAUAGUAGUUUUACGGUUAUUUAUAGUGCUCUGAUACCUGUUGGAUGUUAGUUUAUACUCUAAAAAUGAUUUUGUGGAUGAAUCUGGGACUAGAAUUACUUUGCUACUAUUCUGCUUUGUUGACGCUCUAUUCGGAUAAGGGAAACUCUAUCCGUUUAGCGGGUUUGUUGACGUUCCAGUGGGCUUUUGCUGUGGAAUCACGGCGUGACAAAAGCUUUGGGCAAAGGUGAGUUUUUGAGAUUUGAAAUUAGGGUUUUGGAUUUAAACCUUAUAAAAUGAAUUUUUAAACCUUAGGCUAAUCUAGACUACAAAUUGUAGAGAUUAGCAAAUGAAAUUGGGUUUUGCCAUAGAUUUUGAAAAAUCCUAGGUUGAAAGAGAGAUUCUCUUGUGGAGGAUUUUUAAAAUAUUUUAAUCCUUUAUUACUCUAAUUGAGAGUUAGGAAAUCAAGUUGUCACGCUCCAAGACUGCCAAUUUGGUCGGUUCGGGCACGUCGAGCAGACGCCGAGCGGACAAAAGCUCCCCUGUCCGCCCAAGGCUAAACCAACAAGAUCAAGUACAAGAAUUGCCCAGGAUAAAUUCAAACAUGUACUAAAUCAAGCAAGCAACGAUAUGAGCACCACAAGUGCUAUACAAGUAAGAGCAAGAAUCACAAGUGGUAUACAAGUGAAUAAAAGAGAGAGAUAAAUCUAGCUAUUACAACCAUUCAACAUUCAUUUUUAAUUACAUUUCCAUCUCCCAAAAUGUAAAUACAAGUUCAUGAUCAUGAUACAUAAAUAGCUCCCAAAAUACAUCAUAAGUCUCUAGUACACGAGGGUACUCUAAUGCAAAAUAGGAAAGCUACUAGCUAAUCUAGGGAGCUAAGCCCUUGCCGCGGUCCUCGCCCGACGUACUCGUACUCGGUCCUGCAUUAGAGUGGGGUGAGAACUAUAUAAAUAUAGUUCUCAGUGGAUUCGGCUGCCGACUCCGCCGAUCUCCCCACUAGGUCCAAAUAGGCACAAGUAGAUAUAGAUAGAUAGGUAUUGGAAUUGAAAUUCAACUACAAGUAUAACAUGAAUCCUACUAUCAUGCUAUUGUGCCUGAAUCAGAUAGUAAAUGAAUGCAUGAGAUAUAUAUAGAGAUGAUGUCAACUAUCAUGCUACUAUGUUAAACAAUUAUGCUAUUCAUAAGUUCACCCAAUCAUUUGGCUUACCCGAAGGUUCGCCCUCGACUCACAGUGCAAUCCCAUAGAAAAUGAGACCCUCCCGCUCACAAACGCGAGACCGUCUGCGGGACAAGUACGUUAGUCCCUCACGUGAAGGCUCCGGAGCUCACUACUUGGGUGGAGCGACCACACCAAGUGACAACAGACUAUGUGAGUAUGAUCCAAUCCUUGCCAACUGAGGAUACCCUACCAACUAGAGCUAUUCAACAAGACGGGACUCAACUAUUCCUAAUGUUCAUGUUUAAGUGUUCCAACUACACUAAGUUAACAUGCAACUUGCCAUAACUUGGGAAAUUCACCUAUCCCUAAGUUCAUAACGACAAAGUAUUUCUUCUACACUAUUUUCGAAUGCCACUCGUCAUCUAUGUCAUUUAACAUUGUUUAAAUGCCACUCGUUAUAUUCUCGGCUAUAAACACUAAGUUCUUCACUUGUUUAGCAUCAUAGGAUAUCAAUUGCCAAGACCCAAUCCCUUACAAAUCCACUAUAGGAUGUGUCCAUCUCACAUUAUGUUAUCCACUAGAAAAUACAAGCAAGGAAUUGAAUUGCAAUAAGCUACUAUCCUACUAUGCAUUACAAUAUGAAUAUGCAAGGUUACAAUGCAACUAAGACAUAGAAAGCAGUUCGGUUGCUUCGGGAUGACACCCCCCACCUCUAGGUGAUGCCACGAGUCCACGAGUCCGAUCCCGUGAUUUUUAGAAGCCUACGCCGCGUGCUGCAGCAAUCUGUACCAACACCAGUCUUUCUGCAAAUAUCUUCGCAUGGGAUCGUCGGAUUGCCGAACCGACUUCGCCAAUGCGUCGGAAAACCUAUCAACUAGGUUUGUACACCCUCAAUUUAGAUAAAACCCUAAUAUUUUCAAAAGCCCUCUUUUUGGAUGCCCUAGAAUCUCAUACUUGCAAAAUGCCACUGUUGAUGCCAAAAUUGAAAUUAACAUGCCAACCUAACCCACGUAUGAGCCAAUAAGAACAUGUGGUACACCAGGAGUCAGCAAUAAGGCGCCUGAAGAUUUUAGGCGGAAACGGUUGAGAAGUGGGGCGUAAGUUCCAUGAGAAGUGGGCGUAAUUUCCACGAUGGGGCGUAACUUUCAUGAAGAGUGGGCGUAACUUCCAAGAUCAUGGUUACAACCACUCCCCCCCACUACUUUCAACCAACCAAUAAUGUGGGUUGAUAUUACUAUAAAUAGUAAUUUCGAAGCCUACAAUAGGGGUCUUUCUCCCCCGUGAACGAGAACACCAUCUUUAUUUCCUCUGCAAUUUUAUCGCUUUUCUAGGAGUAGUUUACAUGUAAUCUUUUACUUUCCUGCAUUUACUAUUUUUCUAGUAGUAGCUUUUAAGUUAGAUCUUUGGAGUCUGUAUGCCCCACGGGCACACUCUGUUGCAAACUAAAUUUUCAGAGUCUGUAUGUCUCACGGGCACACUCUGUUGUAAACUAAAUUUUCAGAGUUUGUAUGCCCUUCGGGCACACUCUGUUUUAUUAAAAUAUAGAGGCAUUCGGCUCUUUCAGCCGACCAGUCACUGUGUAUUUCAUCCAUUCGGCUCUUUCAGCCGAUACUAGUCACUGUGUAUUCCAUCUAUUCGGCUCUUCGGCCGACCCAAGUCUUUGAGCAGUCCGUACAUUCGACUUAUCCACCUGAAUCGAUUCAAAAGUAGAGGUUUUUGAACUCGGCUGAUCCGAUCCCUCGUCCACUGAAUCGCUUGAUCAAUCGAAGGGCGCAAACUUCGAGGGUCACUAUUCACAGUCGUUUCGCAUCCCGACGCGCUUUCCGAGGAAGAUCUUUGACCGGGUCCGGGAUUAGAGAAAUCGGCUACCAACAAUUUUUGGCACGCCCGGUGGGACUCGUUCAGGUAUUCUCAAUCUAGACUUUGUCCUAUGGCUGACGAUAAUGCUAUGAACCUCCGAAUAGAGCCAUUCCCAGGCCUUCAGGGAAUGACCAAGCUAAUAGCGCUGAAAAUGCGAAUGAGAAUCAGGCGGUACUACCUGUUGGAGGAGAGACUAGUGAACAGUCGGCUCAUCAAGAGCCGAGUCUGACUCAGGCACUCGGCGAGAUGACCCGAGUCCUGCAAACUGUAGAUCAAAAUAUCCAUCAAAGUGCCGCUCGACUAAACGCAGUGCUGGCCGCCAUCACGGCCUACAAUGAAAAUAUUGUUCGAAUCAGACAGUUAUUUAUCCCAAAUGAGCAACCUUACGGGAGGCAACAGGGGCCCCUAAAUGCGUCGGUGCAACAAAAUUUCGUCAAGCCGGCAGUCUCACAGGCGCAAUCGCAAAUGGCACCUUUCCAUGCUACUUAUAGGCCGACGAAUAUAAACGCCGGCCCGCAGUCAGAGAUGGCAUCGGGUUUACCUUCUUUACUAGCUUACCAGCCCCAAAACGUGGGCGUAAGGGCUGAGGGGCAGGCUUCGAAUAUGCAAGGAGUUAACCCUAUUAUACCGAAUUUCGGUCUACCACAAGGACCGAAUGUAGUUGUAACAAUAUGAAUUCUCAAAAUCCGAGAGUUGCACUUCGUCCAGAAUUGACUAAUGGUCAAGUUGGUAAGCUUUAGAAAAGUUAAGGAUGCACGAAACCCAAUAAGUGCAUUGGAGUGGAGUCCGCGAGAGCGAGGAUACAAAAUCUGCAUCUUUGGCAGAUUUGCUCUCGGGGACCGGUCUCUGGCUGGAGAGACCGGUCCAAUCAGCUGAAGGUUGCAGGGUUGCUGAGGCAACCGGUCCCUGGCAGCAGGGGGACCGGUCCCCGCAGGUGACACCAGUGAGAAGAGCCAAAAAUUAGCUAAGUCCCGCAAGAUGAGCUCUCGGGGACCGGUCUCUGGUGGGCGGACCCGUCUCCGGGGGACCGGUCUCUCAGGGAGAGACCGGUUCCCGAACGCGUGGAAUCGGGGAAGGUCCUUUGGGACCGGUCCCAUGUCAGGGAGACCGGUCCCUCCGCGCGGGUUUUGCCCAGUGAAAGCCAGUUGAGAGAUAGAAAGUUGAGGGGCUUCUUAGCAUUUUGUUACAAUAUGAGAGGGGAUUAAGAGAGGGUUUCUCUCUCUCUUUCUCUCACUCCCUCACUCUCCCUCACUGCUCUCUCUCUCUCUCUCUCUCUCUCUCCGAUCGUGGAAGAAGAAAAAGGGGAAGAAGAGAAGAAGGAAAAGAAAGAAAGGAAAAGAGAAGAAGAAAAAAAAGGAGAAGAUGGAGGAGAAGAGGAGGAUCAUCAUCACCAUCAUCCUCUUCAUCUUCCUCUCACCAUUGGAGCAAGCUUAAAGAGGUAAGCUUGGUGCCCUCUCAUGGUAGAUCCUUAGAGAUAGGUUUUUGAUCUCUAAAAAUGGAUGGAAUGGAACCCUAGCAUGCUAUCAAGAUGGUUUUUUCCCAUUUCAUAGAUUGAUUUGGUGGAUUUUGUAGUAGUAGCAUCUAGGGCAUCCAAAAUGGGGUUUUGUGAUUUGGGAGGGUUUGAUCUCAUUUGACCCUCUGUUAACCUAAUUGGUAGGUAACGAAACGCGUUGGCGAAGACGGUUUGAGCAUUCGUCGAGCCGUUACAAAGAUAUUAAAGAAACGGACGUUGAAGCUUCGUUUCCGCCUGGAGGGCCGAGGCGACGUCGUAAAGUCAUAAAAAUGGACUUGUGGCACCGUGGCCCAUAACCGAAGACUUAUAAUUUUCGGAGCUGCGAAGCGGAGCACGGUUGAGGCGCAAUUGCAGUGUCGGGCCCAAACGGGUGCCGAGUGCCGCAAGAGGCCGAUUGCAAGUAUCGACAAGCAAUCGGAAAGCUAGCUAAGGUGGGUUGUGCUUACCGAAGCGACUAGGUCGCCUUUAUGUCUAAGCAAGUAAUCAUGUUGAUGCAUGUAGACAAGAACUAGUAAUGCAUGAUGAAUGAUAAUGCAUAGAGUAAAAUGCUAAGUAGAAAGCAUGAUGAAUGUGACAUUAAAAUGCUAAGUAGCAAGCAAGAUGAACAUGACAUGUAAAUAAUGCUAGCUAAAGUAAAGAAUGCAUGUUAAUAAUAAUGCAUAGAUGAAGAUGCUAAGUAGAUAGCAUGACAAGUAAAGAAUGCAUAAUCGGCAUAGUGGAAAAUGCUAGGAGAAUAUGCAUGUAAACAAGAUGGUAACUCUAGUUUGAGUAGAGUUGAUUGACAUGAGAUACUCGAUUGGACAACUAGGAUGUCAAGUAGAUCGAGUGACACCUAACCUAGUGUUAAAGAACAUAGGUUGAAUAAGUAAACCUAGAGUCGAACAAUCUAGGUGUGUGGCAUCGAACCUAGUGUUAACAAACAUAGGUCGAUCUAGUAAACCUAGAAGUGAAAAUCUAGGUAAAGAUGACGAGAGCCUAGAGAUUGUAUCUAGGUUAUGUGACAUGAACAUAGAACCUAGAGUGUUGGAACCUAGAUUGUUGAGCAUAGUGGUAACAACCACUAGGAUGAGCUAGGUCGACAGCAUAGGGUUGGCUAUGGACCCUCGACCUGUGGAAAGUGGAUUCCGGAAUCCCAGGACUUGUGAUGACCCUAGUACAAGGCUAGGGCGUGUGUGCGAUGAUUUCACCGCCGAGCUUGAUAUCGAGGGAGGAUUGGGGGCGAUCACAUGGAGAUCACCGCCCGGCGCUUGAACCAUUGUCGUGGCAUUUGUGCGACGAUUUCGCCGCUAGAUGGUUAAGCCAAUUGAGGAUCAGACCGCCAGGAUAGACUGAAUCCAUGCUGGGUAAGAACGAUGCGGGUGCCUCCAGGUCUGAGUCUGACAUGGACCGUUGUUGGGUGAGGUACGACACGUUCGCCGCCAGACGGUAUGUCAUGCCUCGAGCUCACGCUGGGUAAGAGCAACGUGAUCGCUGCCAGAUGGCUAAGUCAAGCGACUCGAGCCAUGUUCAGCGUGUGCGACGACUUCGCCGCUAUGAGGUUGAGUCAGAGAGAGCGGUAGGCUGAUGAGCAGCCAGUGCGCGGACUAUCCGCGGAUGAUUGACUCGAAGCCGAGUCGGGUCGUUAGCUUGAUAGAGGUAGUAGAAACCCUAUGAGCUAGUGACAGAGGCAAGAGCUAAGGUAAUAGAGACCUUAGAAGCCAAAUGGAUUGAGUUGAGCACCUAAGGUAGUAAAGGCCUUAGAGUAAAGAUAUGAGCUAAGAGUAGCCAAGUAAAUGUAGAAUCCAUUGAUCUACGAGCUGUUGCAUAGAGUUGCAUGAUUUUCAUAUCGCAUAUCGUGAGGCAUGGCAUGUAUUUCAAUUGAAUAUAUAUCUGUUGUAUAUUGUUUGAACUAACAUGUUGCAGUGCCUCCUCGGACCUAAUGGUCGAGCUUUUCCCUUGGGUGGCCGUACCCACUGGGAACCAUGGAGUUUGUUCUCACCCCACGUUGUUUCGGGGUGUUUUCAGAUACACACGUGAGCGGUGCAGCGGCGCGAGGCAAGGGCGUAGCUCCGUAGAUAGCGCCCUACCACAGAGACUGAGAUAGCAGUACCCUGAGACAGUCUAGCUUAGGGGACUAGAAGACAAGGAAAACAUAAAUGUAUCAAACUUGUAAUAGCGUAGAUUGUAUUCGGAAGUCUAUUGUAAAAGAAAAAGAAUCAGUGAUGUAAGAUAUGUAUGAAAAGGAAUGCUUGUAAUAGCAAGUAGUUUAUGUAUUUGAUACUUCCUUAUGCAAUCUUGAUUGUUAUCAGUUCCUGGUUGGAACAUUCUGAAAGUUUUGGGGUAGCCCAGGGAUCUAUCUAGAUUGUAUCUAGAUGGGGGGUGAAUAGGUGUAAAAGCCGAAAAUCACAAAUCUCAAUGCGUUAACAGUAAAUGCGGAAAAAUAAAAAUCACAUCGAGAUUUACAUGGAAAAAUCCAACUAGGAGUAAAAAAUCACGGGACCAACACGCGAUAACAAUCCAUUAAGAAUAAAAGAUUACAAGGUGAUUUACCGAUUCCACGGACUCAAACCUCUCUUUUAUCUUCUCCGGAUCUCGCGCACACCAACGGGUUGUCCACGCCCCACGUCCGAAUCCACGAACGCCACAUCCUAAAUCCACGAUACGUCCACACUUCGAAUCCACGAAGCCUUGAUCAUGCCAAAUCCAUGACGCUCACUCGAAUCCACGAGCACACUCCGUCAGGAGCAAGAAUACCAAGAUUGAUGAUGAUUUAUUGCUUAGCCAAUCAUUAAAGAACCGUAGAAGAUGUUUCUAAGCAAUAGCCAGAUCAAUUCCCCAUAAAGAACGAGAAAUUUUGAGUUACACGAAUUGAUCCGAUAGAAACUUGUUGUUCGAGAGAAAAAAGAAUGCACCCAACAAGUUUCUAGGGUUUCAAAAAGAUAUUCUAUCUUUCGCUAUCUUUUAGAAACACCCCUACAUCUUAUUUAUAGGUUUAGAAGACUUAGAAACCGACUAGGAUUGCAAAAACUCAAUUUUAAAAACUUAUGUCGUCCUCAGGGACCGGUCCUCUCGAGAAGACUAGUCUUUGGGAGACCGGUCCCUCGUUGCGUGCCUGAAAACGCAGGCUUCGGGAACCGGUCUCUCAUGCCAUAGACCAGUCCCUCGCUGCGUGACAGAAAGUCCCAUGUUCGGGAACCGGUCUUCCUUUCGAGAGACCGGUUGCCUCAACAUCCCACGCAGUGAGGACCCUCGGGGAUCGGUCUCUCAACUCUGGGGACCGGUCCCAGUACAUUGAAAAACUUAGUUUGUCCAGAUUUAUAUUUUAAAAACCAUCCUAAGUCUUCCAAACACUUUUAAACAUUUAUAAAUCAUCAUCAAUGAUAUUUAAACUUACCAAGCAUUGUGCAUUCAUGUUUUGAGUCUUCGAGUCUUCGAUCUUCAUCUCUUCUUCUUCAAACAUUCAAGACUCCGACUAACUUCACGAAAUAUGCUAACAUAAAAUCCGUAACAAUCUCCCCCUUUGGCAAUUUUGUGACAAAACUAAAAAGUACAUCAAAACACUAACAACGCUCAACUCUCCAAACAAAAAUGAAAUUCAUUGCCAUCACCAAAACAAUGAACUUCUUGCGUGAAAAAUCCAAAAAAAAUACAAAAUUACAAUUUUGCAACUCCUAAACAAACUCUAUGACUUAAACACAGGGAGUCUUGAAGUUUUCGAGAAUCUGCAGAAAGAAUACAAAGAAUAUUUUCUCCUCGAACAAAGUUAGUAAAAAAAAAAUUAACAUCUCUCCCCCUUUGUUAAUGAAAAUUUCUCCCCCUUUGUUCAUACAUCUAAUAUGAUCAAUAAAAAUUCACAUGAAAAUUUUAAAAUCUCUUCUAUCUCUCCCCCUUUUUGUCAAAAAUUGUCAAAAACAAGUACCAAAAAUAGAGAGAGUACCAAUAAUGUUAGUGCAUGAAUAGAAUAAAUUCACAUAGACUUUCAAAAGAACCAGAAAGGAGCACUUUGAAGAACUGUGGCCUCUUCGGAUUGUUGCUGCUCUUUCCAAAAGCCAUUAACCCUUCUAUUUUCUUUUUCUUUUUUUUUUCCAUUUUUAUCGUCGAGAAAAAACGUGCCCUGUAACAGGUUUUAAGAAAGAGAAAGGAGAAGUUUUGAUAAAGUUUGGAAAAAGAUCGAAAACCUGUAACCGGUUUUAAAAUCGUGGCUACCAAUACAUUUUGCCGGAUUUCGAAAAUUUUGAAUUUUAAAAACCUUUUAAACUUAAAUUAAUUUCACACAAAUUAAGAACUUUACUUCAAAAAUCAGUAUAAUGGAGGUAAAAUAUUAUAAGAUUUCAAAAUACAUCGAAACAUCAAAAAUUUUGUUAUAAAAAAUGACUUCGUGUUUCAAAAUCAUCAAGAUGUAACGGUUCACGAAAAAUAAUUUCUAGAAAUUUGGCAAAAUUGACAUCAAUUUGUCGCAAUCCGUUCAAAAUAGAGAUUUAACUAUUAUAAUACCGGGGGUGGCUCUUUGAGCAUCUUUCUCAAACUAACACCUUAUUACUCCGAAAAUUCUAAAAUAUUCAUUUUUUUCAACCUUUUCGGCUUUUCAAUUAAUCUCCAUGUGGUAGCUUCACACACUUGCCGGAUGACCGGGGUGGUAGCUCUUUCCUACAUAUGGUGGUAGUUUUCACACUUCUUUUGGAUGUAACUCUUUCCACAUCUUUUAAACAUAGGAGUUUUUCUUUUUUUUAUUAUAUUUUUAACAAUUCAAACUCCCCCUUAAUUAGACAAUCUCACAAUUGAAAAUAAUUUGACAAAUUUUAGUCUAUUAGCGAAUAUCCAUAUAUCAUAUCCAACACACACAACCGAGAUAGAUUAAUCAUCAAGAGAUCAAACUUGAUUUCAAAAUUUUGUUGAAUAUAUGUAUUAAGAAAUCAUAUAUUAAAUUAUCGUCAAAAUAAUAAAAAGUGGAGUAAAACCG